CCUAACAAAAUCCUAAAUCAAAUCCUAACUAAAUUCUAAUUAAAUCAUAAUCAAAUCUUAAUUAAAUUCUACUCAAAUUCUAAAUCACUUCUAAACCAGUCCUAAUCAAGUCUUAAAAAAUCCUAAAUCCUAACCAAAUUCUAAUCAAGUUCUAAAUCAAAUCUUAAUUAAACCUUAAACCAAACUUUAAUCAAAUCCUAAUCAAAUCUUAAAGUAAAUCGUAAUCAAAUUUUAAAUCAAAUCUUAAUUAAAUCCUAAUAAAAUUUUAAUCAAAUCUUAUAUCAUAACCAAAUUCUAGACCAAACCUUGAUGAAAUCUUCACCAAAUUUUAAUCGAACCUUAAUCAAAUCUUAGAUCCAAUUCCAAUCAAAUCUUAAUCAAAUUCUUUUAAAAAUCUAAACCAAGUUCUAAUCAAAUUCUAAAUUGAAUCUUAAUCAAAUCUUAAUCAAAUUCUAAACUCAUAAUUAACCAUAUAGCAAAUUAAAACCUCAAAAACUAAUAAUUGAAUUGUUAAUACCAACUCAAAAUUUACACACUUUUUAACAAUUUAAUUGAAAAUUAACACAAGAAUAAUAAUAUCAAUUGCAUCUACUAAUUAAAAAAAAUUAUAAGAUAAUCCAUUUGAGUGUUGGAUGGCAUCCUUCUCUAAUCUUGAUGUUAAGCUCCCAAUACAAAUAUCUCCUUCUUAAACUAUUAAAUUGCUCUCAAAAUUCAUAAAAAUGUUGGAAAUCAAGUCUGUUAUCCAUACAAAAAAAAUUCACUUAAUUAGGCUCUUUUAUAAUAAAAUAUUUUUUUUCUUCUUUCACUUAAUAGUCAUAUUACUAUACAACAUGUCUAUUUAGAAUUAAUAUAUGUCUUUUGAUAGGAAAAAUACUAUCAAUUUGUGCCAUGCUCUUAAUAAAGUAAAAAAUCCAUUUGAAGAAUAAAUAAUUAGUCACCAAAGCUCUAGGUUGUAUUGCCAUAGUCACACUUAAUUAGCAUUGCUCUAUAUAGUUUUGGCAAAAAUACAUCCUUCUAAAAAUGUAAAAAGAUGGUAUGACUAACCUUAUUGAAUUGAUGCAUAUCAAAAUUGAAAGCUAAUCUCAUUAAUUUGGAAUGGUAAAAUAUACCUGAUAGGCAUAUAUUUGAGCUCUAGGAAGUAUAUUAUUUUUUUUAGAUACUUGCACAAUGGAGUUAUCACAAUUCUAUAUCCUAUCUAGAAGAUUAUUAUAUAAGGUAUAUAAUACAAUUAAAUUAUCAUAGAAACUCUCCACAAAUUUUUUGCAUAGUAUCUUUUUUCUAGAAGUUGUAAGGAUUUAUGCUAACUUCAAUGUAAGCUUAAGGUAUCAACGUCUAAACCACUUCAAUCAUCCAUCACUCAAGAUCUCAUUUUUGAAUGAUCUGCAUUGAUGUAAAUCCCACUAAUAAAUUUUAAUUGGUAGGACUAUUAAUAAUAUAGAUUUUAAUUAUUUAAAUAUAAAAAUAAUAGGAUUAAAAAGUCUUUUUGAUGAUUUAAGUAUUUAUUAGAAUUUAAAAAUGCUUAUAGGAUAUAAGAGUCUUAUUGAAAAAAAUUAUAAAAAUAAAGUCUUAGUGAGUAUUAGAGCUAAUUAUUUUAGUUGAUUUGAUAUUUUUACUUAUUAUUGAAUAUUAAAAAUUAAUUAUUAAGACUAAUGUAUAUAUUAAUCUUCUAUUUAUAUUUUUUAAUUAUUUAAAAAACCUAUAAAUAUUAAUUAGUAGUUAAAAAAAGUAUGAAAAAAAAUAUCAUGUCUUUUUGGUUAUUUAUAUUAGAAAUAUGAUUUUUAGUUGUUUUAAAUUUAUUUUAUUACUAUAAAAAAUCACCAAGGUAGGAAAAUAUGACUUUAAUUUUAUAUAAAUAUUUUUUUAAUUAUAAAAAAUAAAUUUUUAUUUAGAAUUUUUUCAGAAAUUUUUAGGAAUUUUUACAAAAAAAAUUUAAGAUUUUGGUAAAAUUGAUUUUUUACCACUUUGUUAGCUUUGUUAGCUUUGAUAAAAAUGUGUGGCCUUUAAAGAAAUGGAGCAAGAUUUAAAGGCCACACAUUUUUUACUUAAUUUUUUAUUUAUUCACUUAUUAUCUUUAAACUUUCAUAAUUUAUUUAUAAUAACUUGGAUUUAUAUAUUUUUUACUUUUUACUAUAUGAAAACUCAAUAAACAGAUUGUGAUGAAGUUUGGAGUGUGUAAUUGCUUGAUUUCAUUUAUUUCACUUGUUUUGUGUUUGGUCUUCUUUUCUUCUUGUUAAAUGCUUCUUUUAUUUUAUACCACCAAAUAAAGUAGAGGCUUUCUUAUAAUUUGGAUUGAGGGGUGAAAUUUAUCCUCACAAUCAAGUCUUAGUUGUUUUUUAAAAAAUCAAUUUUUAAGUUGUGGAACUUAAACCUAUGCCUUGCUGCUGUCAGUCAUGUGGAGUCUGUGCUGUGGAGUAGAGCUGCACCCUUUACUCGCUGCUGGCCGUGGGCUUGCCGAGUCGACUGAUGCGGCUCUGCCGGUGCUGUUACCCUCACCAACCGCUUCGUACGAUUUCGCCGCGUUGUGAUCGAUCGCCAGCCAUUUCAUUCUGUGCAGAGUCAUCUUGUAACAUGCGUGGUUGUCGUUACUAGACUCCGCGACUUCUGUCCUGUCUGUCUUUCCCAUAGCGAAGCUGUCAGACUCAUCGGACAAUUAUAUGACUACCUACAGGCGUUCCAGAUCUGAUGAGCAUGAUAUCUAGCCGCGACAACUUCUGUCUUGUUGAUUAAGUUGUAGUUGUUGGUGGUGGUGGUAGGAGUAGUAGUGUGAUUUUGCACCCCGUUGCUUGGAGGUCGAGUUUGGGGUUGGAGUUUUUAUUGGAGUUGGGAGUUUGCUUCGGUGUUAGGAGUUUGCUUCGGUGUUAGUUGUAUGGCAUCGCAGUUAGAGAGAAGCUCCAGUAUGCGCUCCGAUAGGGACACGACAAUGGCGGUCUUCCAAAGGUCCGCUUCUUCUGUGAAAGAGUCCACUGCUGUCAAUGUUCCUGUCAUGCAGCGCAACAGCUCCUUGCUCAAAGGUAGUCCCCCGUCGGAGAAGCUGCGAGCGCUUCCUUCUCUUGUCAAGGAUGGCCAAGGAAAGAGCGGGCUUAAUGAAUCUAUUCGGAAUCGCAAUAUCGUCAUCGGCAUCCUGUCGGGCCUUCUCUUCCUUGCUGUGGUGGUGCUCCCCUGGGAGGGGGAAGUGGGACCUGCUUACAUCGCUGCUGGCAAUGUCGGCAAAAAUUCUGUAAGCAUUGCUAGCGGUGGUGACCCAUUUCAGAGCAAAUGGGCGAACGCAGCUAGAGCGCGGCCUUAUCAUCAUUUCUUGAAGAUGUCCUUCCUGGGUAGUUCGAAAUUUCUCGUCACAGGCCCUGCCAUUACCGUGCCUUACCACAACGGUCCCAUACUAGCCGGUAAGGGUGGCGUGCUCAAGGUGCAUGUCAUAUAUUAUGGCGCUUUCACGGCUGCCCAGAAGGCUAUAAUUAACGACUUUCUUCAAUCGUUUUCAGCGCCGAAGGCUUCCGCGGGACAUCCCACUGUCGCAGGCUGGUGGGCUAUCACCAAAGGAUUCACAGAUGGUUCCAAGGUGCCCGUUGCGCAGACUGUUCUGCGUGGUAGCGUCCACGAGGACGCUGCUUACAGCCUAGGAAAGUCCUUGAUGCAAUCUGAUGUUGAAAAGCUAGUAGUCUCCUCCCUCGGCAAAGGUGUUGCGCUAGAUCCUGCUGGGGUUUAUGUCGUAUUGACAUCCGCCGAUGUCAAUGUCCAAGGAUUCUGUAGCUCUCAGUGCGGGACUCAUCUAUACACGUUCCCAUCUGCAGCAACGCAGACUCAUGUUCUCCCCUACGCUUGGAUCGGCAAUGCCGAGAAGCUCUGCGCGGGCCACUGUGCGUGGCCAUAUGCUAAGCCUGUCAAGGGAGCUGGGCCUGACGUGCCGCCGCUAAAGCCUCCCAGUGGUGAUGUCGGCUUGGACGGGAUGAUCAUCAACAUGGCGAGCUUACUUGUCGGCACAGCCACUAACCCUUACGCUACAGCCUAUUUCCAGGGCGAUGCAACGGAUCCCUUGGAAGCAGCUGGCGCUUGUGGCGGGAUCUAUGGUGCAGGUGCUUACCCUGGCUACGCAGGACAGCUGCUGACUAACUCCAAGACAGGAGCUAGCUUCAAUGUCUAUGGUGUCAACGGCCGAGAGUUUCUUGUGCCAUGGGUGUACAACCCUGUCACGAAGAAGUGUGCAGGUCAGGUAUAGCAUGUGUUACAGUACUAGUUUUAUUAGUAUGCCUACUUGACAUCUGUGCUGCUGACAGCCUUAAGUGAAGAGCUUCCAUGGCAGCCGAUGCAACGCUAGGAGGCCUGCUUUUUAGUUUACGUGGCCUUUAUCAUCAAUUUUCGAUUCGACAUCAUUUUGUCACCCGACAGGCUCAUUACAUUGUCGCAACUACUUUGGUUGUGGAUUCAAGUGAAUUAAGUGAACUGGUGGUACGACACCGAGUUGUCCUUAUCUACGAUUACCGUCGGCCUUGUCGUGGUUCCGAGUAAUACUACAUACUUGAUUUGAAUUUGUGGGAAUACUUGAUUUUGUUUCGCUUGUAUUAUGCCUUUCUUAAAUUUCCCUGUUGCGUAUUCCGUCGUGCAAUCUUCUCGGAUCGAACACCAAACUCUGGGAUCUUCGAGAAGUUUUUAAAUUUGGAACUCGAGAAGAACACGACGUUACUAAGUUCAAAAGGUUUCACGACCCUUCUAGAAGGAUCGAUGACUACGCUCUGGCCAUUGAGGAACAGGUUAUUAGAUGGGAAGAAUGGUUUAAGAUUCGCUCCAUUUUAGUGCUUCAGGUGUUGCGGGGACGUUCCCUUGUUUCGUUGUGUUGGGCAAACCACCUAAGAGCGACUGCUGCUAGUUCAGUACACGUUGGGGACGUUUACGUUGUCGUAAUGUCCCUCUGUUGUUAGCUUGUCUUUGAGCAUGCCUCCGUUUUAGGUGCCUACCCCUCCGAUCUUUCUAAUACGCGUCUGAAAACGGGAGCCAUCUCUCACCAUCUCGUAAUAUUCUGGUGUAUCCAGGCUAUGGGUUUCUUUGUUCAAACCACUAUUUAUCCUUUUCAUAAGGUUUUACAUCUGCUUGCUGUAACUGGACCUCGUGAUUAGUUCUAAUUUGGAAAUGUGAGUUGCUGAUCCCCUUCGCUGGCACCAGCACGAUUACUAAAUCACACCACCUGGCAGAACACAGAGUUGCUGCUCUGAGUAAAAUCUUAGGUCACAUCACUUAUAGGUUAUUCUUCGUUCUGGAAAUCCAAUCAGUGGUUCAUUACUCAGCUUUGAGGUCUUCUUUAGACAGGAGGUUGCGACACGCGGAAAGAGUACAUAUUUUUCCUCCUCAUCAAGUAAGCACAGCUUUUGUUGAGUUUGAUUGCACGUCACAAAUGACUCCCGGUACAGUCAUAUCGUUGGUGAGUCAUUUCUCUGACAAUCUAAACGUCUAUUCGCCUUCUGAAACGUAUGAUGACAGUAACAUUCCCGUCUCUAAACCAACCAAAGGGGUGAUACGUCUGUCACACUGUACCCAUAAUAUCUGUUUCUACGUGCCCUAAUAUUUCAAUCCAACCCACAAAAGAUGCCGACACUGCAGAGGCGUUCACCAUUAUGAGUACCACCGAGCUCCUUGUCCGUGAGACCAAUUGUACCUACCGUCCAAUGUCUCCACGCUGCGCUUGAUCUUUUGCUUCUGAGACGUAAUGUUCUAUAUACCAGCUGAUGAAAUGAAGACACCACUCUUGGAUACUUCCCAUUCUUGUUCUGCCACAUCCCAUCUGUUAGCGAGAAAGUCUGGUCAGGCUGGUUGAGGGCACAGACAGAUCUGGUGCAUGUCUGCUUAUGCCAACACUCUGAACAGACUGGACAAUUCGGUGUCAGGCUGGUAUGAAUUUGGCGCAACAGAAAAAUUUGAUUAUUUUUGUUUUUUUGUUUUGUUUUUUGAACAAAUGUUAUUAUAACACACUGGGCUGGGUGUGAACAGUCUGUGUUAUAAAGAAUAAUUCAUUGUCACAUCUUAGUCUAACCAAGGACAUGUUGACUUAGCUAUUUGAAGUUGCAUUCUAUUAUGGUUUGUAUUUCCAAGAUUUAAACCUUUUACUAUAGAUUGGAGGUCUUUCAUGCUCUUCACAUUUUAAUAUUUAUGACAACAAUGUCAUACAUCAAACUUGUCUUGAUUUAAUGCAAACUUAUCAAAUAUAGCUACCUCCAUUCCCUUGACCUGUUUAUAAUUGAAGUAAUACAAAUUCUUUUCUUUAGUACAAAACAUCUAUUCAUAUUGAAAUGAAUCAUAAAGUCACUUAUUAUAAGUUUAAUCACCAAAAUGAGGUUUUGCUUCAUCCUUGGCAUAAGGAGGACAACUUUAAAUGUAAUCCAAUUGAUUUAUCCAUUCACAACUACCUCCACUAUAAUAGAGCCAAUUCCAAGGGCUUCAAAUGUGCUAUCAUUUGUUAAAAUUAUAUUUGUUGUUGAAAUAAUCUCAAAAAUGUCAAAUAAAUACUUAUAAUGUGUCACAUAUUUGGAGCAACCUAAAACCACAAUCAAUCUUGAUAUAGCAGCUAUAAAGGUCUUUUUUUUAGCUAUAAAUGUAUAAUCUUAUUCUAUGUAAGAAAAAUAUUUUAAUUUAGCUUCAUUAAUAUUGAUUAUAAUCAUUGCAAAAGUCUUCUUUUCAUCACAUUUCUAUUGUUUUUUUUUCCUUCAUAUUAAUUUGUAUGUUAAGUGUCACGCACAUACAUAUUUAUUAUGAUAUUUACCUAUAUGAUUAAGUAGAAGUAAGUAAAAAUAGAUUUAUUUCAUAUUAUUUUUUAAAAGAGCUUUUUAAAAUCUUCAUAAAUUUUUCUUUGACUUUACAUAUGUUUGUAGUUGAUUAAUAGGUUAGAAACUUGGUCAAUAAAUUAACUACAUGUUGAUAGCUUGCGGAACAAGCUAACUAUGUAGUGUACAUAUAAAAAACUUGCCUUAUAAGUUAAGAUACAUUUUUUAUAAAGUCAACAUGUUUUGGAGGCCCUACAUAAUAUUGCCACAUAGCUCUUAAGUAAGAUUAUAUAGAGAAGUAAGAGUAAAGCUUUCUUCCUUGUCAAUGCCUUUCUAAUCCUUAGUCUUGUUUUCAGACUUUUUAGUCUUCUUGUCUUUGGCAAUAGCCAUUCUAAUUUAAUAUUAUAUUAUCUUAGAAUGAUUUUCUACUCUUUUUGAGUGUCAUAAGAUUGUAUUGACAUUUUAAUACAUAGAAAUUUUCAUUCAAUAUUAGAGGUUGUAAAUUACCCUCUUUUAAUUUGACUUGUGGAUAUGUUAAGUUGUUUGAAAUAGAGGAAAAAAUCAUGGAUGCUACAAUUGGUAGAAGUAAGAAUAGAUUUGCAACUAUUGCAAAUAUUUACAAACUUAUAAAUAUUUUUAGGAUAAAAAUUUCAUGCAUCACUAGUGCCAACCAUAUAAACAUUAAUCCUAUAUAUAUGGAAGAAGGUCAAAAUCUACAGCAAGAAGUUUUGCAGUUGAACAAAGCAAGUAAAUCAAAUUCACAACCAAAUUUAAGAAGUUUUCCUUUUAUAAGUAUGACAGAGACACGAAUUAGUAUUCCAGAUAAUUUUGAUGGAAUGAGAUCAAAAUUUUGAAAAAGAAAAAUGGACAUACAACCUAGUUUCCAGGAUGUUUUUGAAAAAGAAAAAUGGACAUAUAACCUAGUUUCCAGGAUGUUUUUGAAAAAGAAAAAUGGACAUAUUUUUUUAGAGCAUCGAUCCUAUGAAUAUACAAUUGAUCAACAAGAAGGAGCUCAACCACCAAUUAGACAAAUUUAUAGCUUAUCGCAAAAUAAAUUAGCUAGACUAAAGGAGUAUAUUGUUAAGAAUUUAUUUAAAAACUUUAUAUACCACUUGAAAUAUCCAAUAAGAGCUACUAUCUUAUUUGUGAAGAAAAAAAUAGAUCUUUGCGGAUGUGCAUAGACUAUCAGGGACUUAAUAAGUUCACCAUCAAAAAUUGAUAUCUCCUACCUUUGAUUUCAAGACUUCUUAACCAACUCAAUCAAGCAAAGAUAUAUAUAAAAAUAGUUCUACAAGGAGCAUAUAACCUAGUUUGCAUUAAAGGAAGAGAUGAGUGGAAGAUUACUUUCCAAACUAGAUAUAGAUAUUUUAAAUAUAAUGUUAUGCCUUUUGCACUCACAAAUGCAUGAGCUACUUUUUAACAUCUCAUGAAUGAUAUCUUUUAUGAAUUUGUUGAUGAUUUUGUUAUCUAUUAUUUAGAUAAUAUUCUAAACUAUUCUAAGAAUAUAGAAAAAUAUAAACUUUAUAUUUAUCAUGUAUUACAAAAAUUUAGAGAUGCAAGAUUAUAUGAAAAGAUAAAAAAAAAAAAAUAAAUAAAUAAAAAAAUGUGUAUUUUACAUUAUUUGAGUUGAUUUUCUAAGAUACAUCAUUUCCAACAAAGAAUUAAUGAUCGAUCCUGAGAAAGUCCAAACUAUCAUUAAUUAAAAGGUUCCAAAAAUAAUAAAAGAUAUAUAAUAUUUUUUAAAAAAAUUUAAUUAUUAUAAAAUCUUCAUCAAGAAUUUUUCUCAAGUUGUCGCUCAUCUUAUAUGUUUGAUAUGAAACUACAAAUUUGAGUGGAGCAAAGAAGUAAAAACAUCUUUUGAAGCCUUGAAAACAACAUUUAUUUCUACAUUAAUUUUAUAUUGUAUUGAUUUUUUUAAGGCAUUCUUUAUAGAAAAUAAAUGCAUUAAAAUUUGCUAAAGAUACUAUUUUAUUACAAAUGAGAACAGAUGAUAAAUUCUACUUAGUUAUUUUUCAUUCUAAGAAAUUUUUAGCAACUGAAAUUAACUACGAUAUCCAUGACAAAGAGCUUCUUAUAAUUGUGGAUUCAUUUCAAAAAUAACGUCAUUAUCUAAAAGGUGCUUCUAAUUUAGUUAUUAUAUAUACAAAUCACAAGAAUCUUGAGUACUUGAUGUUAGCACAUGUUUUGAAUCAUCGUUAAGCCUGUUGGAGUAUGUCUUUAUCAAGAUUUGAUUUCAAAAUCACCUAUAGAUUCAAAAAACAACAAGGUUUAUAGAUGUCUUUUCUAGACAUUCUUAUUUUACAUCAAAAGAAGCAUAUGUAGCUUUUAAUCAAUAAAAAAUGAUUCUCUUAAAGCUAGAGUAUUUCCAUCUUCGAGUAGUAAAACCAACAUUGACUAUUGAUUUAGGCUUUGUCAAGAAAAUCUAAUUAAAUAUGUCUUUUGAUCUUCUUGUUUAUAAUAUCAAGAAUAAUUCUUCUAAGUCUUAUGAUACUUCCAAGUUUGAAUUUAAAAAUAAUCUAUUCUAUUUUGAAGGAUGAUUAUACAUUCCAAAAGGCAAAGCAUAAUUAUGUGUUCUUCAAGCUUGUCAUGACUUUCUAGCGACCAAAUAUUUUGGAUAUAUCAAGAUUUUAGAGCUAAUAUCUAGAAAUUUUUGGUAGCUUCAAAUGAAAAAGGCGGUCAAAGACUUUGUAGAAUAAUAAGAUAUUUGUUCAAGAUCCAAAACUCCUUGUCAUUGAUCUUGUGAACUUCUUCAGCCAUUAUCUAUUCUAGAACAAUCUUGGUCUUUUCUUUCAAUGGAUUUUAUCAUAAAUUAUCUAAUCUUUAAUUCAUAUGAUUCUAUAUUUGUGAUAGUAGAUAAUUUUACCAAGAUGGCACAUUUUGUACGAUAUACAAAAUGUAUCACAAGUAAAGAAAUUACUUAGCUUUUUCUUGACAAUAUCUAUUGUUAUUAUGGAUUAUUCAAAGAUAUUAUAUCAAAUAAAGGGACUCAAUUUAUAUCAAGAUUCUAGAAAAUCCUUUUUAAGAUAUUAAAGAUAGAUAUAAAGCUCUCUUUGACUUUUCAUCCUAAAAUUGAUGGUCAAAAGGAAAGAAUGAAUCAAAUUUUGGAAUAGUAUUUUAGGUGUAUCAUUAAUUAUCAUCAAGAUAAUUUAAUAAUUCUUUUGCCAUUGGCAGAGUUUGCAUAUAAUAAUUUGAUAUAUUUUUCUAUUCAAUAAAUAUUUUUUUUAUUAAUUAUGAUUAUCAUGUAUGACUUGAUAUUUUUGAUUUUUCAAAAGUUAAUAAUCUUAUGGCAAAAGAUUUGGCAAAUUGUUUGUCAAAAUUAUAUGCAAUAAUGAAGGUACAAUUAAAGAAAGCUCAAGAAUGACAAAAGAAUAAUGCAGAUACCUAUUGCAAAGAACAACCACAAUUCAAUAUAGGUGAGAAGGUAUGGCUACUUUGUCACAAUAUCAAUACUACUUGUCUUUUUAACAAGUUGGACUAUUGUAGGCUUGGACCUUUUUCUACUAGUCAAUAAGUCAAUUCUAUUGCUUAUCAAUUAUAUCUAUCACAGUCUAUGAAGAUCCAUCUUGUAUUCCAUAUGUUUCUUUUUGAGCCAUAUAAGAAAAUGAAUAUCUCAGAAAGAAGAAAAAUGCCACCUCUUCUUUUAAAAUAGAUAAUAAUCAAGAAUUUGAAGUAGAAGAAGUCUUAGAUUCAACAUGGUGCGAAAAUAAGUUAGGAUAUUUUAUUCAUUGGCACAAAUAUGACAUUAGUGAACAUACAUGGAAGCCAACAAAGAAUUUUACAAAUACAACAAAGAAGGUUGAAGUUUUUCAUCAACAACAUCUAUCAAAAUUAAGAUGAAUAAUAGCAAAUCUUUGUUAUAAAAGAAAGAUAGCAUUCUAAAUUUUAUUCUUGUUUAGUUUUUUUUUCUAUUUAUCAUGUUAAAGAGAUUGAAAAUCAACAAACAGCAAAUUCAACUCAAGAAUUAUUACUUAUUGACUUAUCAAAUGAAAUAUUAGCAUUGUGACAACUUUUAAAAUAACAUAAUUAAUAUCAAGAUUUUCAAGAAUAAUACAUCUUUCCUUGAAUAGAUGGCAAGAUAUAAUGUGUUUGAUAUUAUAACCUUGGAAGAGACUUCCAAUAUUGAGUGAUUUUAUUAGAAAUUGAAAUGACUCCUUAUAAUGUUCCAAAUAUUUUAUUUAAAGGAAGUUACAAAGGCUUCAACAACAAUCAAAUAACAAGGUGAUUUUCUUAUCUUAAUAUAGGAUACUAUCUAUGGUUAUCAUAAGUUGAGGACCUAUCAACCAUCUUUCAAGAUAACAAAGAUCAAAAUAUGUAGCAAAUAUAAUUUGCCGCAUCUUCGAUUUCUUCAACAUAUGAUGACUAUUCCUUGUGGGACUUGUCUCUAAAAAGGGAGGUAAUAUCACAGAGUCAUAUUACAUGAAGUAUUACUUGAGAGUGCACCAGGCAUCUAGUUGUAGAAGGUAGAAUGGAAAUUAUAAUAACAAAAUUUUAAUUCUAAUAAAAUACUAAAUAAACUCUAAUUAAAUCUUAAUAAUAUUAAAAAAACUUUAAUCGAAUUCAAAAGAAACCUUAAAGAAAUUACAAAAGAAACAAUAAAAAAAUCUGAAAAGGAUUGAAAGAUAAUCAACAUUAAAUCUUAAAAGAAUCCUUAAGAAGUCCUAAAAAAUAUUAAAAUAAUGAAAAUAUUUCUUAAAUAAAUAUCAACCAACUAAUUUAAUCCUAAUUAAAAUCCUAAUGGACUUCAAUCAAAUCCUAGACAAAUCCUAAACUCUAAACCAAAUUUUAAACAAACUUUAAACUCUAAAUCAAAUCCUAGAUAAAUCCUAAAUCUUAAAUCUAAUCCUAAUCAAAUCCUAAACCUUAAACCAAAUUCUAUACAAAUCCCAAAUCCUAAACCAAAUCCUAACCAAAUCCUAGCCAAACUUUAAACUCUAAACCAAAUCCUAAAAAAAUUUUAAACCAAAUCUUAGACAAAUUUUAAAUCCUAAACCAAACCAUAAUCAAAUCUUAAAUCUUUAAUCAAAUCCUAAAUUCUAAAUCAAAUCCUAACCAAAUCCUAAAUCCUAAAUCAAAUCCUAAAGUAGUUUAGAACCUCAAUGUCUUUUGAUUAAAUUAUUGAUCUUCUUUAAAAUUUUAUACAAUUCUCAAUCUCUUAGUUACAAAUAAGUAUAACAAAUUUGAAGAUAAUUUCAUUUAUCAAAUGAAAGAAAAAUCCUAAAAUCUCCUUGGAUGUUGGCUGGCCUCCUUCUCCAACCUUGAUGCUAAUCUUCCAAUGCUAACAUCUUCUUUUUGCACCAUUCAAUUGAUUUCAAAAUUCUCAUAUAUGUAGAAAAAUAAGUCUACUACUUAUAUGCACAACUUUCACUCCAAUCCAAUAAUAGAUUAUAAGAAAUCUUAGAAAUCAUUAUUAGACCUAAAAUUCUACUUUCAGAGACCUUAAUCUACUUAAACCUCAAAAAUCCUCAAUUCAACCAUUAGAUCAAGCUAAAAUUCACAACACAUAUUAAGCACAAUUUUAAAGAUUAAUCCAGAAAAUUUCACUUGUAGAAAACUUGUCUUGCAAGUUAAAAUACAUGUCUUGCAAAGUCAACAAAUUUUAGAGAUCCUAUAUGAUAUCACCACAUAGCUUCUAGUGAAGAGUAUAUAUGGAGGUAAGAAUGAAGCCUUCUUCACUCUUGUCAACACCUUUCUAGUCCUUAGUCUUAUUUCAAGACUUUUUAGUCUCCUUGUCUUUGGCAAUAGCCAUCCUAAUUUAAUACUAUAUUAUCUUUAAGUGAUUUUUUAUUCUUUUCGAGUAUCACAAGAGUGUAUUGAUAUUUUAAUUCUUUGAGGUUCAUACCCUUGAUACUAAGAGACUCUUUUAUUUUACUUACAAUAUCCUAAAGUUUCUAAAAAGUCAAUAAAAGUACUAUUUUUACCUUCUAAUGGUAGAAAUUGUCUCAUCUAAAUUUCUCAAUCAUCACUGAGGCCUUAGCCUUACUUGAAGCCAUAUCUAAAGAAGACAUGUAUCAAAAAAGAUCAAGGUAAUGAAUCAUAAAGAUCUCAAAAUUAGCAAGAAAGUGUUAUAAUCUUAGAAUUCCAAAAUGACCUCUUUGUGAACAAUCUAGUAUUUUUUUUCUUUCAAAACACUCUCAACUUCACUUUUUAGAUUUUUCACAACUCUUGAAAAGAACAUAAACAUACCAAAUCAGAUUUAUCACUUCUAAAUGACUUCUUUGUUCAAAAAUCACAUCUUCUUACAAUCAAAGGCUUUUUAAACAUCCUAAGCUUCUGUAAAACCUUGAACUUCAAAGUUAGUCUAUUAAAGCCGUAACUUAUCAAGAAACCAUAAUAUAAGUGUUCUAAUUUUUUUUUUUUUUUUUUUUUUUUAUGUAUAAAACAAACAAUUUAUUCAAAAUGCACUUAAUCACAUAUAAGUGCACACCUAGAUCUAAGGAUAAAUCUUAAUCCAAAUGUUACGAGGCUCCAAGUCUUGAUAUUAUAAAUAAUUAAAUAAUUAACUCUUCACAACUUCAAAAAAAUCACAAAUUAAUAUAAGUGAGACCAUAAUGUAUUGAAAGAAAGAAAAAUUUGAAGUAUCAACAUUUGAUAUAAAUAAGGUUGCAUACAAAGAAAACUAAAGAGUAAAAUAAUUCUCACUUCUAACAUUUGUUACUUAUAAUAAGAAGAUUACAUCUCAUAUAAAUAAUCAUCAUCUAUAAUCAUUUCUAUUAUAUUUUGCCUCAUCUAACUAAUUCCUAGAUUCCUCUUAGUGUAGUUGCCACCUUAAUCACUUGCCCUAAGUCUUUAUUGUUUUUUGACCAUUAAGAGCUUAUUAAAGUUAAACUCUAAAUAGUGGCAAUUAAUCAUAGGUUUGAUAAUUUUUAGCAAUUCUAACAUCAUUAAGUUUUAGAGCCUUCUUUUCAAUUAUUUCAUCAAAAAAAAUAUAAGUUUAAUUUAAGUUGAUAAGAUAUGGAUAGUUUUGCAUUCAUCUUCUUAGUAACUUUUCUUGAGAUGUUAUUUAAUAAGACACUAGAUGCUUCCAUUGAUUUUGAAGAUGUUUGUUUUUUUUAACACAAUUGAGAAUAAAAAUCAAAACAGAUGUCAUGAAGUUUUUGGCAGCUUUUUUGAAUUACACCUUAAAGAUUUUUUAGUACUAUGAUAAUAAGUUUUUGAUAUUGAUUCUUGACUAUUUAAAAAAAUAAUCUUUAACAUUGCUUACUUACACAUGUUUCUAUCUAAUCUAAGAAUGGAUUUGUUGCCUUUUUUGUUGCUUUUCUUAUUGAUACUCAUAAAACUAAUUAGGUUUAAAUAUUUUUAAGGCAUUUGUGUGUAUUAAAGUCUUAAUGAUUAGUAUAAAGAAUAGAAUAAACAUGUUGUAAUUACCCUUAAAACUCAACGUGGUAUUUUAGUCUUAAAAAUGCUUGUUCUUCAUAAAAAAAAAUAAAAAUAAAAUAUUUAUAGAAUUGUGUAAAGAUCCUCAUUCUAUAGAUAAAGCAACAUCUAAAUCUAAGUUGAGUCUAUAUUUCCUUAAUAACUCCUAAGUCCUUCAAUGUGUUAAGGUAAAAAAAUAUUUAUGUUGAAAUUGGAUGCUCUAAGUUUGGAUUUUUAAAGUUAAAUAGUAAACUUAAUUGGAAGAUGAUUUGAUAAUGCAUUGUCUUGUCUUAUCUAAUAUUUUUGGAUUUGGUUUCUUUGUAAUAAAUUAGUACUAAUGCAAAAUGUAUCUAAUUUAAGAAGGAUAUGAAUUCUUUCAUGUUUUUUUUUCUAAAGGUAGUUUAGGAGAUUUCCAUGUUUAAAAGCAUCAGCAAAAAUAAGACAAGAUUUAAAUAAUUUUAAAUUGUUCUUGUUAGCUUAGAAGAUAAGUAUUUUGCAAAAAAAAAAAGAUUUAUAAUAUGCAUAAUUAAUUAUGUUUUAAUCUUUACCAAAAAUAUAAGGAAUAAUAGAAGGUAUAAAUUUUACUAAAUUAAGCCAUAUUUUGGUUCUUUUUAAAUAUUUUAUUAGAAGCAUAAAUAUAAAUAAUACUAAUAGAAUUGCUAAAAUUAUUUAUAUUCAUUUCUAUAUUAAAAUUAUAAAUUUUAAUAAAUAAAUAAGUAUAAUUUUCCUUAAGAAAUAUCACAACAAAAAUCUUCUAUGCAUACAAAUUUUAUUCAAAGUAUUUACAAUCUCAAAUUUAAUUUCAUAAAUAUCUUUUUUUUGUAUAUAUAAAAAAAUAAAGAGGAUAUUUUAAUUUAAUCUAUUGUAUUUUAUCUUAUUUAUUUAUUUUUCUUCUUUUAUGGUCUUCAUGUAAAAAUUAUAUAUUUUUGAUAAUUUUUUCCUCUCAAUUUACGAAUAAUUAUUAAUAAAAAUAAUAAUAAUGUAGAGAUUCUACAAACAAAUCUCCAAGUCAUGUUGCAUGGAUAAACACAAUCUAAUCGAUUAUCACUUGUAAUAGGUCCAAUUUGGAUGGAACAUUUUAUUAAAUGCGUACUCUUCUUAAGAAUAAGAGUAAUAUAUAAGUAGUAGGCAUUAGACAAAACCCAUCUUAUAAAUUUUUAAUACUUAAUAAAGUGAGUAUUAUUCUAAAGAGACUCUUAAAUAUAAUUUAAAUUGAUCUCUAAAUGGAACACAUUCUUAAUUUACAUAUUGACAGCACUCCUAGCUACUUUAGGUUUUACUACUAUUUAGUUUAACAAUCUUCAUAAUUUUUUUUUGAUAACUUACACCUUUCUGAACUGCAAUUUUUCUUCAACUACCUUUUUGUAAACAAAUCUAAUCAAACUUCGAUUAAAUUUUUUUAAAACCUACCCAACUUCUUUAUUUGGUUGAAUAUUGAUUUCACAUUUUUUUUCUAACCAACACCCACUUCGAAUGUCCAAUUUGAAGAUUGAUUAUCGGUGGUUGAAACGAAAAAAAAUGAGAAAAACAAAAGAAUAUAAGGUUUGGAAAUCUAAGAUAACGACUGCCCUAAAUUAAAGAUCGAAAAGAGAACGUAACCCUAAAGGACGGUGGAAAAUAUUACUAACAUCGUUUCCGAGAUGCAGGCUGAACACCCGCGGCGAUGCGUAUCAUUUGAAGCAAGCAUUGCGGUAGCAAUUCGAUUCAAGACCCACCAAAUUCAAACGCCGUUUCGACAUACCCACUUCUCGGAUCUGCAUUCGUCACAGAUCAUGGCGAUGUCUAUAACUUAUGAUCGAGUCGAGCUGGUCAUUGGUGGCAAUGCAAAGAAGUGCAAUGCCACUGCUGCUUCAUUCGGAGGACUGAUCUGUUUCAAACAAACCCACUGUCGAUGCACCACAUUCGGUCUCCAAUGUCGGCAACUCUUUUGUGAUCAACUAGAGGCAUGUGCUUCGAUGAGCGAAGAGCAAUUAGCAACAAGAAAAGCUGCCCCACAUUGUCACUUACCUUGGCCAUCUCCAGACAGCGAUCCAAACCAUCCAGGGAGACGUUGUGCCUCAGAAGGAAGGUCGGAUUAGCAUGUGGGUACAUUCAUUGCAAUCAAUACAAGCGGGUGGGGAGUAUCAGAUGCGAUUUUCGACAACUUACCGAUCCUCGUACACAAGGUGCGCCUUCGUGACAGGGGGUGUACAUGCUCUGACAGAGGGAGAUGCAGCAGCAACACAAUAGUCGCAACAGUUUAAAAGGAAACCCUAAACGCGCUGAAACUAAUCCCAAACUGAUAAUUCAUGAGUUGGGUAGGAAAAUCUUGCAUCGCAGUCACGGCAGCGGAGAACUACGAACCUGAAUGGCUGAGCUAGUUGGUCUUACUCCGAAAGCUACUUCGAUGACACUUACUAAGAAAGCUCAAUGGUUUUUGAAACGUUCACUGCUUCUAGAGACGCUUCUGACCACUCUAACGUGCCACACAUACACUUGUAGAAUUGUUAUGCUGAAAGCCGAAACCGUGUGCAAUGUGUCAUGAGAAACCUAGAAUGGGGGUUUAAGCUGUGUUCACAGACCAGGUGGAGUUGAUGCUUGGCAGUCGAAUGAGUGAUACAAGUGUCACCAUUAGAGUUGAUUGGGGUAACUCGACCUAUUUCUGUCUUCCGCGUGUUAGGGAGUAAUUGGGUAUGUCGGAAUCCUACAACCCUCGGAAAUGAAUAGGCCUCUAAAAAACUGACGACGUCAACGGCCAACGUCUCAAAAUCUCUGCCUUUUUGUUUUGCUUCAUUCUCGGGUUGACUCACACUGGUUGGUUGACUUGGAAAGUACCUCCCGAAAUUCUGCUGGGAUCUUUGUGAGUAUGAACCCGGCUGCAUGUCAUCGCUUGCGGAGUAGAGCGAAUCGAAAGCCAAUGUGGGUCACAUGUUCGCACUCGUCUGGCAUGACAACCCAAUGCUGUGAAGACUUUGAGAUGUUAUCUUGGGGCCCCACUGCAAUGGGUGACUUAGCUUUUCAUUCCAUUCGCUCACGUCUACAUGAGUGCUUGUUUAGGUUUGGAAGGUCUUCGGUAGGCGAGAGCUUGUGAGGUGAUUUUCUUUUUGUAUGUCUUGCUGUGUCUUUUAAUGCUGUUGUGCCGCGAGAGUUGUGUCUAAUCUGUAGCUUCUGAAGAGAGUAUAGUGGAAAGUCGCACGUUUACAACAAGAAAUUUAACUAGAACUAUUGCUAUUUUCUUUUUCUUUUUCUUUAAUUUUUUUUUUCAGAUUUCAAACAGGAUCAUGAGCUGUAAGCUGCCAAGUAGAGUUGUUGAAGACGUAGACCCUUGAUUUUGUAAGGGUUGGUGCACAAAAGUUUGCUUGUAGGAAUUUUUUCAAGAUUAGUGCUGGGAGAGAUGUAGCACAAUUCUCGUUUUUGUUUUGCCUGCAAGAUUGAGGCUUGGAGACGUAGGGUUUAUCUCGCUUUUGUGGCGAAACCGGGAGUUCUGACAUGGAGGAGGGCGGAGAUGGGGCAGAAGAGGCAGCGCCCUCGAAUUUUACAACUCGACCUGCACCACAAAAGACCCAAGUUGGUACGUUCAACUUAUCUUUGUGUUCCUGGCACCCCGAUUUGAACGCUGUUGAGAACUUCAAUUUACAGUGCAGUGCUCCAAAAACACAGUAAACCAUUACUCGAUCUGGGUACACCCAAUGAAUGAGGCGUUCGUACGCUCUCCGUGAGGCAAGAAUCAGGGUUUAAAAGAAUUGUACAUCUUUGAAGUUAUUAGUGGAGUAUUUCUGGAACGGGUACCCUCAUCCUUGUCUUGAAUUUCCACAAUAAUAUCAAGCUGGAUAUUGAAAACAUACAAUUUCUAGGAGAAGAGUUUCAUAAAUUGCAAGGUUUUCCCUCUUCGUAUUCAUUACUAGCAGAGAAUGUUUGGGUUCGGCUUAAUUCUAGGAGGUCUGUUAUAUGAAGUUAUCAGCGAAUAGUUGAAGUGUUUCUAUAUAGGUUUUGUAAUCACCAAGGUGCUCAUUAAUGCACUGCAGUAUGACCAGUUUGUGAUUACUUAGAGGCAUAGGCUUUAGAAAAUUAAUAGCAGCAAGAGUGCAAUGUCCGCUCUCACUUGAGUUUCCUCAUGAUUGUAUUACUCUCAGUCUCUCGGAGAUGGUCUCAUGCAGGGUCGGCAAACGUGAAACUCCCUGAUCAGAUGAGAAGAGAGAGUGCAACCAUUCCAAAGCGUCUAUACCAUGCGGUAUCCAUUGAUGAAAACCAGAAGAUGAAGGACUUGAACAACUACCCCAAGAAAAAUCUUGAUUACAAAGACGAUGCCGGAAUCGCUCGCAUGUCAAGCGCUACCAUGGUGGGCAUCCGGUCCUUCUUGGACACGUUUCCGUCCAGGCCCAUGGAAGCCGAUGCUGGAGCCAAUAUACAGCAAGGGCCAAUUGGAGGUGUCAAAUCAGGGCUACAAGGCUGGGAUAGUGACCUCUUAGAUCUUCCUAUUGGGGAGGGUGGUCCACCCACGAAACGAAAGUUGUGUAUAUUGAGUAUGGAUGGUGGUGGCAUACGGGGGCUUAUUGCAGCACGUACAUUGACUCGUUUAGAGAACCUUAUACAGGUGUUCAUUCAUUUUCAUCCAUUAAGUCGUCAAAUUUUUGCUCUUUCUGAACUACGAGCCUUCAAAAUUGUGUGGUUCUGAGCUGUGAUGUAUCUCUGUGGACAGGAAAAGCUAGGGUGCGAAGAAGUGCAUUUGAGUGACUAUUUUGAUUUGUUUACUGGCACUAGCACCGGGGCCAUUUUGGCCACUAUGCUGGUGGUACCGGAUGAGAAGGGCCACCCUCAAUUUUCAGCGAAAGGAUGUUGUGAAUUUUACUCCAAAAAUGGUGAAUACAUUUUCCGCCCACGGUGGUACGACCCCUUUCACGGCUCGGUGCGGCAGUUCUAUAGACCCAAAUACUCGCCCAGAAGAUUUGAGGAUCUGCUGAAGCAGCACACCAUCAUGAAAAACGGAAAGGUGCUCACCUUGGUGGAUGCUUUAAAACCACUUCUGAUUACCUCCUUCGACAUUUCAAGAGCCACUCCAUUUUUCUUUGUUCGCCAGGCUGCAGCGAAUGAUCCGAGCCGUAACUUCACGUGAGGCUUCUUUAGCUUGAUCAGCUUGCCGUUUGCAAUACACUUCCAAUCCCGUAUUGGCAUACUUUACUGUAAGAUAUCCUCAUUAUUGACAGAACACAUUUCGAACAAUUAUACUCUCUACAAUUCGUUCCUUUUCACUCUAACCAUUUUUGUGGGAUUUCAGUUUAUGGGAAACUUGUCGUGCAACGGCUGCAGCACCCACGUACUUCCCGCCUGCAUUUGUGACUUCUGUUGAUGGCAAGUUUUCGGGUACUAUGAUUGAUGGAGGCGCUAUUCAAAAUAAUCCGGUACAAGCCCUAAUGCUCCUUUAUUCUUAGCAACUGCCAAUGUUGAAACAAACCAUGUGAUAUAGAACAAUCACAGAUAAUAGGGUUCAUCUGUCCAUGUCAAGUGUUUCUUUUGUUAUGACAGGCAUUGGUUGCGACAACCCAUGGAUUGGCUAACAACGAAGAUUUUCCAUAUGCAACGAGCCUCAACGAUGUCUUGGUGCACACACUUUCCUGAUCAUCUUCCAAAUCUCUACUGUGUUCAAUAUUCAUGUGAAUUUAGUUUUGCUCAGUACUUACCGUAAGUUCCUUGAAGUAUUACUCUCAAUACACACAAGGUUAAGGUUUGUAAUGCUAAUGUUAAUAUAUGGAUACUCUUGUUGGAUUGGCAGAUAUUGUCUUUGGGGGCUGGACAAGCAGACAACAAGCACAACCUGGAAAAGGCGAAGAAGUGGGGAAUGUCAGGCUGGUUGCGGCCUCUUAUGAGUAUUAUGAUGGACGGCACCUCUGGUGAGCAUUGUCGCAUAGCCACCCAAAUUAUUCAUAUCAAUUCAUCAUCAAGCAUACCCUAGGAGAGAAUGUCCUUUUCCCUAAGCGAUGCAUUUGAGAUCACUGAGAGAAAGCCUUGCAGAGAUUCUGAUAUUAGAAAUGUUGCAUACUGAUCAAGGAUCUCACAUCAUCAUUUUUAUUCAGAUACUGUGGACUAUCAACUAUCUGCCGCUUUUGCUGGGCAUAACUGUGCUGAAAACUAUCUGCGGAUACAGGUGAAACUCCUUGCCGUGUCCUUCGUGAUGCCACAUGAGUAAUUUUGCAUUUUACUACUUCAUUUAAUCUCUCCUAGUGCUAUAACAUGUCAUAGUUCUUUAUUGUACGGCGAGAUAUUCUAAGUUCGGUGUUCCUGGAGUUUCUUUUGUUGAAUAGUUCAUUGAUACAAAGUGGUGUGAAACAGCUUUCUGGACUUCCAAAUAAGACCGCACUUAUGGACUGCUGCACACCCCAGAACAUAUCAGAUUUGAUAAAGUGCACUGAUGAGCUGCUACAGAAGAAAGCGGUCAUGCGGAACGAAAACGGGGACAGAAUCACAUUGGAACAAACGUUUGAUGAACGGCUUUCCUGGUUUGCAGAUCAACUGAUAAUUCAAAAGAAGCUGCGGGAGGAGCCUCCCAAGGACCCCUCCUUCUCUGACCACUCGCUGCCGCCUUACAAGCAGGACGUGAUGGGUCCCCAAGGCCAAAUGGUCUCCCCUUUCUUCGCCCAUAUGUUCGAGCAUCACAAGGACUUCGGUGGGUCGAAGAAGGCAAGGUCUUUCAGAUUCUAGCCCAUCUUUCAGAUCCAUGUGUUGAUGAUUUUCAUGCCUAUUUACAUGAUACUCCGAAGUCAAAUCUCAUCCUUUCAUUUCAUUGGCGCAGCUCUCGUCGAUGUAAAUAAUUCGACUCUCUUGUCCCGAUCAAAGCUGCUGUUCAUUGCAUAGAGGUGGUUUUGUAGAAUGACAGAUUAGUCAAUUGGGUCUACUCAUCUAUUUGAAUUUACAGGCUCAUGUCUCCGCUAAAUAUAAAAAAAUUUUGUAUACUAUCUAGAACAAUGACAUUUCACUGUAACCUUGGUGGAGAUUGACUUCGGGAGUCUAACAAAGUCUUCUUGAGCGUGCACCCCAUAUACGAACGCUCUUCGUUGCUCAGUCUCGUGCACGAGAUAGAACUGAAUGUGGAGCUCUAUCAUCCUGUAGACUAAUCUGCACACAGCACGAAUGUGGACGAUUCUCAAACUAACUACUUUCAACUUCACCUUUCUCUGCUAUUUCCACCAUAAAAUUCUUGAUUUGCCGUCUUUCUUCCGAACAGCUUGUAUUGGCUUGACUUUCACUGUAGCAACGAAUUUCAUUUUCCUUUUGUCAACAAUGGGUAUUGUAUCUCGUGUUGAGACUUCAACUAGUCAAUUGUCUAAAAGUGUUUCCAUCUCUGGAGCUGAGCCCCAAAGUCAAUGAUUGCUCCCUGAGCAAGCUGUUGAAUGACAAAAUGGGCCGGAGUUGUAAUACGUUAAUGUCAAAAAAUUCUAAGAUGGGUCGAAUUAUUGUCACACAAAAGCAGGAGUUCCACCCUUUUGUCGCCAUUUAAUUAACUCGCACAAUCGUCUCUUGGAUUAAUGCUCCGCUCAUUCCUUGUUUUCUGCAUUCUGAAUAUCUUCGUCGUGCAUGGAGGGAUCACACAAUCUCGAACUGAAAACUCCACCAAUAAUUAAUUGCAGUACAAUUCAGCAAUAGUUUUGUACAUUUUUACAUAUAGUUUCAAUUUUGCUGAAAAAGAGCCUCCCAAGGAUGUGUAAAUGGUAACCACCUAACUAGCUAAUAUGCGCAUUAUAUAACGUUUUUGCAACUUUUAAUUUUGUUGUUCGGCAAGGUUUACCAUAGAUUUGUUUCAAAUUUUGUUUGUAAUGGUUUAAAUGGUUAUCACUUGAAGAGUUAUUCCAAAAUAUUGAUAUAACAAGAAGAAUCAUUGGAUAUUGAAUUUAUUGUAUAUUAAAUAUAUUUGUUGCAUACUAUUAUGAGUUAACAAUAAAAUGUUCUUGUGAUUUUAUUUGUUAAAAAUAAUAAAAAUUGCAAUGGGAGAAAAAACAAGGAAGCAAAAAAAUACAAAAAAUUCAAAUAGAUUAUGUCAUUUUUGUCCAAGAAAGUAGAUUAUUAAUUGAGUUUUUUUUAUGUCUUGCUAAUCCUCUAAGAAUUUGUUACAUUGUUCAUAAUAGCAAUACAAGUUGGCAUUGCUUGAAGUUUACUCAUACGCAUAAUUAUAUAUGCUAUAAUACAAUGCAAUUGUUGAUGCUUCAUUGCUUUUUAUUUCUAGUAUAAUUGAUUGCUUAUAACUUUGUUCAGCAAUUGCGUUCGAGGGAAAAAGUCAAUGGUUAGAAAGAAUAUUUUAAAAAAAAAUUAUUUUAAGAAUAGGCAUCUUUUUUCUUUUUAUAAUUAGAAACAUUACUUAAUUGUUCUUAAAAAAAAUUGUGUAUAAAUCCAGAACAAGGUUACAAAAGUUAACUUUUACACUUACCACAUUCACUAAUGUAAUUAUAAGACAUUUAGACUUAAGUAUUCAAAGUAUAUUAACUUGUAUAUUAUGCAAAGUAUACAAGUUAAUAAAUAUUUUUAAAAAAAUAAAAAAUUUUGAAAUAAAUACAAAUAUGUGUAUAUAUGUGUAUGUAUAUAUAUAUUUUGAUGUUUUUCUUUAUAUUCAUAUCAAUAAAGAAAUAAAUAAAUACUUACAAAAGAAUUAUUUUAUAUACUUGAGUAUGUAAAUUAUUAAGAUAAGCAUAGUUUUUGGUAUUUGAUUAAAUAAUUUUUAUUAUGUGAUAGAAAAAUUAAUAUAGAUUAAAUUAAUAUUUAAUAAUUUUCUAUAUUUUCAAAUAUAGAAUAAAUAUUUACAGAUAUAUCUAUAUAUCUAUAUAUAUAUAUAUAUAUAUUUCUCUAUUAUGAAUGCAGUUUUUCAAUGUUAUAUCAAAAUUAUGAACCAUAACUUUUACUAACAUUUAUACUUCAAUAUUCAAAAGUAGAAAUAAAUAAGAAUUUGUAUGUAUUAUAAAUUGAAUUAUUUAAUACACAAGUACAUUUUUUUUUCUUAGAACUAAUUUUAAAAGUACUACAAACAAAAACUUUUACCAAGACACCAAGAUAAAUCAUAAUAAUUCUAACAAGUUACCAAAAAAGUACAGUAAACAUAAAAUAUAUGUAUAUAUUUAUUGGUAAAAUAACUUUAAGAAAAUCAAUAGUAUAAUUUUUUAUUAUUAAUGUCUACAUCUUGAUAAUCCAUGAUAUUUCUGAAGAUAAUAUCAGGCAAAAUAUUUAAUAAUUUUAAAUAAUAUUAAGAAUAAUAAUUAUUUUUUAAUUAUUUUUAAAAAGAAAAAUAUAUAUAUGCAUAAUAUUGUUUAACAUAUUUUUUAAUUUUUAAUCAAUUUUUCUUAUAUAAAUGUUAUUUGAUUUUAGAUAGUUACUAAAUAUAUUUUUCUUCAUUUAAUUACCUUUAAAAAAGAAAAAAAAUUAUAUAUGUAUAUAUAUAUAUAUAUAUAUAUAUAUAUAUAUAUAAUGGUGAUCAAACCAACAAUAUUGAUGUUAAAGCCAUAUUUUUAAGAACAACGUGAAAAUUUAACUUAAAUUAGUAAUAUAUAAGUGCCUUUAAAAUAAUACUUAUAACAAACACAAUACCAAUAAUACUGUAGAAGGUUUUGAAAUUUUAUAUCUAAAGAUUCUUUUAAAAUAUAUAUAUAUAUAUAUAUAUAUAUAUACGUAUUCAUAUUUUGGUAUUUAGAUUCCUCAAAUUAGUACUUUUUUAGUUUUUUAAAUCAAUAGGUAAGAAUAUAUAAUAUUCAAUAAAAUAAAAUUAAAAUUAAAUUAAAAUAUGAAUAUUCGUUGCUAUUAGCUUACAUUAAUAUUAAUAAUCAUUUUUUAAAAUAAAUAUUUUUUCUAUUUAUAUGUUUUACAAACAUUUUAAGUUACAUAUGAUUGAUAUUAUUUAAUUAGAAAUAGUAUUAAUAUGAAGCAUACAUAGACAUAUUUAAAUACCUAUUGUUAUUAUUUAACAAAUGAACAUAUAUAUAUAUAUAUAUAUAUAUAUACACAUACACACACACAAAGAUAUAUUAUCAUCGAAUCUUAUAUCUUUUAUUUAAUUUAAAUAUGCUUCGGAUUUUAUGUUUAAAAAUUAUUAAUAAUUUUAUAUUAUUUUUCUUUGAGUUUUUUCACUAUAAUUAUAGUUAAAUAUAUGAAGUAGAAUAAAAAUAAUUUUAAAGAAAAGUGAUUUUAACAAAAAAGUUAACUUAGAAAUCAUAUGUAGACAUGCUUAUCUUUAAUCUUAAAAAAUAAUAAUAAUAAUAAAAAAAUAUAAAAUUUGAUUUAAGUUUGAAAAUUUUAAAUAAUUUACAUGCACCACCUUUCAUUUCAUUGAAUAACUCAAAUUUCAAAAAUACAUAUUUUUUCAAAAAAUGAAUAUAUAUAAAUAUUUAUAUAUAUAUAUAUAUAUAUACACACACACACACAAAAUUGAUACAUUGACUGGGGUUUUUAUUAAAUUGACCAAAUUUUAAUCACACUAUCUUAUUGUAUACUAUAUAAUAAAAUACUUUGCACACAUAUCAAUUUAAUGAUAUUGUGCUAAUUUGAUAUGUAUAUACGUAAUCUGGGUAAUGUGGGCACAUGUCAAUUUAAGAAAAAGAUUAUGUGUUAAAAUUAUGUGGUACACAAAAUGAUACUGUGACCAAAACCCAGUUAACAUAUCAAUUCCCACAUUUCUAUGUGUAUCUAUAUAUAUAUAUAUAUAUAUAUAUAUAAAUAGUUUUUAUCAAUGAUGCCUCUCUGCACAAACCCACAAUUGCAUCACCAACAAUCUCGUACUCACUCUCCAGUCUUCAAUUCCCAGGCAUGAAGACCCCCCCCCCUCCCCCAGCCCAAGUGGAUUCUCACAUCUGCAAAUGCUGCCAAGACAGAGACUGGGAAGCUGAUGGGUCUUAUGAAGACCCAUAGUGGAGACAUGUCAAGUCUCAGUUAAAACCCACUAGGGAAUACAACCUGGCAGGCAGAGACUCUCUCUCUCUCUCUCUCAUUCAGACCAAGACCAGGAGAAGAAGAAUCCUGGUGGGGCCUCCUCAUUUAAGACUGGAUAGUGCAAAAUAACUGGCUGGGCUGGACUGGGUCUCAUUCAUUAAGACCCAGACUUGGUGGAAUCUAUUGUAUGGGUCUCCAAGGCUGCAAGGGAGUAAUUAAUCAAUAGCAACCGCAUACAUACAUACAUACAUAUAUACAUAUAUAUAUACUACUCUGGACGGGAACAGGUCCUUGUCUCUCUCUCUGGGCCAGCGGUCAUGAGACCCAACAGAACUCAAGCGAAUUGUGAAGCUUUUAGUAAUAAUAUCAUCUACAUUGGACACACUCAUAUAUAUAUAUAUAUAUACAUGUAUUUAUAAAUAAAGGGGAAUAAUAAAUAGACCCAAGUUUUUACAAAAUUGUUCUACCCAUCAUGAAAAAAACAAAUGUCCAGAUUCAUUUCUCCAUGCAUGUUUGUAUUGUGUUUUGAUUUUAAAUAAUACAACAUUUUUUAAAAAUAAAUUCACUCUUGUCUCAUUGAAGAAGAGAGAAAGUAGGAGAAAAGACAUAGAUUUAAGAUAGAAGAGAAUCAAAACAGAUAUUACUAAAUACAAUUAUGUUAAAGAGUCUUCAACAAAGACCAAAUAUAAAGAAAAACAUUGACAAGAUUGAAGAUGGUAUCACUCUAGUCUCUGUAUAUUAAGUACCAAGCAGCCCUUGUAGAAGCUUCCUAAGAACCAAAGACUUGUGGUCUAAAUGUCAAGUCAUAUAAUACUUGCAGCAUAGCUUCUUGAAAGUAAGAAACUUAUGUAACAAAUUUGAAUAAUCAUGUGGCUUACUUUUAGAAAUUUAAAGAUCUAAUAUGCUUGGAGAAAAAAUCUUUAUAAUUUUGUAGGGAAUAGUAUAUCCACCUAACAUAAUCUACCUAUGUCUACUUACUUUUAUUUACUGAAGUAAUGUGGACAUUUGUUACUUCAAGAAAUUUUUUAAUUUUAAUGAAAUCUAGAAUAAGUAUUGUCUUAUCUAGAAUAAAAAAAUGUUAAGUUUUUGGUCUUGUUAAAUCUACAUUGUCCUUUCUAAAUGUUGUCAAAAUAAUAAAUAUAUUUUUGAUAAAUAGGAUGUAUAAAUAUAAAUUAAUCAUUUUCAGUAAAAAGUACCAAAUUUACUCUAUUAAGCUAUUUGUAACUUGAUGAGAUUUAGUUUCUAAAAUGUAAUUGUAUUUAUGAAGCAUCUUCUAGAAGAACCUUAAUUAGUUAAACUUCUUUAAGUAUAAAUCUUCUAAAUAAUUAUUUAGCUUACAUCAAUAGAAUAGAUGAUUUCAAUAAUUUAUUAAUUUAGAUAUGUUGAUUUGAAUAUUUAGGUAUUUUCUUAUUUAUAUUAAGAUUUAAUUCUGCUCUAAAUACGUAAUUUUUUAUAAAAUCAAAUAUAUAUAUAUAUAUAUAUAUACAAAUAAUAUAUUCAAUUUCUAUGUAUUAUGAAAAAUAUUAUUCGAUCUAUAUAAAAUAAAAAAGAAUUUCUUGGCUGCAUAAUUUGAAGGUUUUAUAAUGAAAGUUUCUUCCACACGAUUUUUGUUGUCAUGUAUAUAUAUAUAUAUAUAUAUAUGGAUAAUAAGUAGUUUGGAAUUAAGUAUUUUAUAAUAUCAUGUAAAAUUUUAUUAUGUAGGAAGGCAUAUUGAACAAGUUUUGUAUUAUUCUAUUUCUAUUAUGUUUAUUUUGUACAUUGACAUCCAUUAGAAACCAUAAAGUCCAGUUGCUUAGAAACCAAUAAAAUGUUUUCUUGGUAGCAACUUACUUGAUAUAAUACUACUGUGCAGUAUCCUAUUAAUAUUGUGUGCUAGAAUACUAUUCCUUUAAAAUUUUAAAAUUAAUCAUUCUUUAAACCAAAACAUGAUAGAAUGUUAUUUUACACAAUAUUAUUAAUUAAGUUCAUAAAAAGAAAUGCAUUAUUUAUACUACAAAAAAAUUAUGCUUUAAUUUCUUUAAUAUUUACCUAAGUCAUUAUUUCAGUAAUUAUAUAAUAGAUAUAAAAUUAAUCUAGAAAAAAAUAUGUAUCUCCUAUUUUUUUUUGAUAUUUUUUUUUAAGAUACUAACUCUUUUAAAUUUUUUUUAUUUAAUAAAUUAUGCCCUUGAAAUUUAUGAUAUAAGGUAGUUGGAUACUUUAAUUAAAAGAAUCCUGGAAUUUAAAUCUAAUAACAAAUAUUUGAAAAUAAAAUUGAGUAAAAAUCUUCUAAUCUAUUUUUCAUUAUUAAUUUUUUGUUGAUAAUAAACUGAAAUUUCUAAAAUAAUAAAAAUAAAUAUUGCAUCAUCCUAAAAAAGGAUAAGUCUAUUUUUAUAGGCAUUUCUAAGGUAGAUAUUCAAAGUACACAUAUAAGAUUUUAGAAAACCCCAAUUGAUACAAAAAAAGAUUAUUAAUAGCAUCAACAAUAAUAAGAACUUUAUUAAUAUUAUCUUUUGAAAGCACAUAAUAAUAUUAUAAAAUUAUGAAAUUUCUAAAAAUAUCCAAUAAAAAAUCAAAAAAUUCAAGGACCUUGUAGGAUAAUUUACACUUCUUAACUUAGUAGUGAUAGUAGUUACCAUCAUAAAAAUCUUGUCAUUGAAUUGAAUACCAUCCUUUAAAUACUUGAUUUUUCUAUUGAGAACUAUGAUUAUUAUGAAAUCAUAUUCUGGAGUUUAUGGCAUUCAAAAUAUUAUAUGAAAUUUUAAUUUAAAAAAAUAAAAAAUAAAAAAAUUGUAUAACCAAAAAUGAUGCAACAUUGGUUAGACACCAAUAUAAGAGAGGAUAUAUUGCCAUGUACAAGGUGAACUAUAUAUUUUCUUUGAUUGUAAUAAACAAAAAAAAUUAUCAUGAAUUACAUUAAAAUAAAAAUAGAAUAGAGUAAAAAUAUUUUAAAGAAGUGCAAUGUACUAAGAUUAUUAAUGUGAUAGAUAAUUAAUAAUUUAUUGUAAAAAAUAUAUAUAUGUAUACAAAUAAUUAAUUAAUUAAAAAAGUAAACCUUGCAUGUUUUAAGAAUAGAUUAAAACCUUGAAUUAAAUUUUAAAAAAACUCAAAAAAUUAUGUUAUGUAUGUGGUAUUUAUGAUUUUUUUAGGAAAAAAAACUCAUAAAACUUAAAAAUUAAAGAAUAAAAAUAAAUAAAGCAGAAAAAAUUACAAAUUUUAUUUUAAAUAAGUUGAUGAAAAGGCAUUUCUCUAUAUGAUAAUCAAAUGAAUAAAAUUAGAAAAUUCUUUUAGUGGUGGUAAACAGAGUAAUUCUCAACCACCAUAAUGAUUUUAUAUACUUUUGAUGGGCAGGUUUAAUUACAAAAGUAAAUAAAUAAAAAUAUAUGUUUCAAAAAUCAGAUUGAGUAUGUGUAAUCAAGUUAUUAAAAAUAUACAUUAUGAUAUAUGUUUAAUAAAUAUUCUCAAAAAAUAAUUGAUUAAUAGUUUUAAAAUUUUAAAAUAUAAAAAUUAACCUGUACAUAGUUUAAUAAAGAUUUUUUUUUGUGAUAAAUUAUUUAAGAUGUUGGUCAUGUAUCUAAUAAAAAAUAACUUAGGUAAAAAAAAUAUUGAGGUUGAAAAAUUGCGAUUUAAUUAUCUCAUAAAGAUGUGAUAAAAUAAAGUGAAGACUAAUUUUUGGCUUAUUAAACAUAAAAAAAUUAAAACAAGUUUUCAUAGCUACAAGGUGCACAUUAAAAUUAUAUACAUAUUUAAUAUUCUUAUAUUUAUUUUUGUUGAUGUUUCUUAAGAAAUAUAUUAAAUAUCUAACAUAAUUUUACCUUCUUCUAUUUGUUUCUAUUAUUUUAUGUGGUUUAGAGAUCUAUAUGUUAUCUUAAUCUCUCAUUUAGAGAUAAUUUUAAUUAGCAAUAGUAGCAUUAUAAUUUCAAAAAUUAAUUGUAAUUAGCAAUAAUAACAGGAUUUUUCUUUUAUAAAUUUUACUAAAAAUUUAAAUCUAUGCUUUGCAAAAAGAUAAUAUAUUAUAUUUCAGAUACUCAAAUAUUCUUAAAAAGAAACAUAUUUUUUACCAUAAAUAUUAAAUUUAUUGCAUAAAUAUUCCAUUAGCUAAAUCAUUUGAGUUUGAAAUGCGCAUGAUUAAAAGAGAGCAUAUUACAAAGACAUACUAUUCUUGAUUUAAAAUUUAGACCUCUUGUCAUAGAGCCUCCAAUUCAAACUUUGGUAGUAUAGACAUAGAUUUGUUCAUAGUUCAAUAAUAUAGAGUUUAGCUAAAUUUUGCUAUAAGUUUGGUUAAGAUUCAAUGAUCAUCUCUAACAAAACUUUAAAUAGUGUUAUAUUAUAUCAAUGUUAGUUUUCAAUUCAACUCAACAUUGUUGAUUUCUAUCAUUAGAAACAAGUUGACAACAAAACUUCUAUUCUAAAGAAUUUUGCAUCAAGUACAAUUGUAAGUUUGAUUACAAAAAUAAAACUUUGAUUAAAAAAAGAUAAGAGAAUACAUAGAAAAUUAGGUUUUUACAUGUGAGCUAAAUGAGACAAUUAAUUUAAGAAAAUAUUAGGUGAACACUACUUUUUUAUUAUUUAAAAACCUUCUAUUUACUAUGUCAAUACCUUCUUGUGGUACAUCAACAACAGAAUAAAGCUACAAUUUUUUUAAUAAGCUAGCUACUAAUGAAGCUAAAAAAAUGUAUUAAAAAAAAAAAAGAAAAAAAAAAAAGAACUACAACAUUAAAACAUUAGCAAUAAAAAAGCUAAUCAAAGCCAACAAAUCAAGCACAAAAAAGAAGGGUAUCUUCAAAGAAGAACCACUAUGUAGACACUCCUAUUCAUUUUUUUGCUUUAUUUAGCUUCAACUUAGCUGAUGUUCUUAUGUUGUACUUUUUCUUUCUUUCUUUCUUUCUUUUCUUUGUUUUUCUUUUUUUUUUCUUUCACUAUAAUAUUAUAUUAUCUUUUAAUCUCAUUGAUGUCUAGCUUGUUAAAAAAACUUUUGGCUUGGGUGUAUUAUUGGUACGGCAUAAAAGUAUGUCCAUGCAGUAAAAAGAGGUUGUUUAUUUAUUAGUUUUUUUGAGUUAAUAGAAUAACAAGAAUCAUGAAGAAAGAGUGAUCCAGAUAGCCUCUCAAUCUAAUCUUGAUGCAUGUCCACAUUAAAACUUUGAUUUAUACUAAAUGUUUUAGAAGUAAAUUUACGUCAAAAAAUUCUCAAAAUGAAGUCAAUAAUAUUUUAAAAUAAAAUUAAAAGUAAAUUGAUAUAGUUUUUAAUCAAAUUAUACUAUUUUUACUUUACAAACAUAAAAAUUAUGGUAAAAAAAUUAACUGAAUUCUCUAAUAUUGGGUGGUAUUCUUUAUAAAUAUUUGGAACAAAAUUAAAAUAAUGGUAUAGCAUUCAAUGAUUUGCUUGUUUCAAACAAUGUAGUGUUAUCAAAUAUAACCAAUGGAUGACUUGUAACAAUUUAAAUUUUAAAACAAUUCUGAGGAAUGAUAAAUUUUAAACAUACAUUAUGCAAAAGGUUCCACCUCUAUUGUUUUAUGAGAGGGUCGGAGCAUUACUAAUACAAUAAUCUUCUAUGCCAUUAAUAAAUAAAUAAAUAAAUAAAACUUUGUUCAUGAACACGAUAGAAUAAAAUCAUAUAUUUAUUAAUAAUAAAUACAGAUUAAUAAAAAUAGACAAUUUCUUAAGCUUUAAGAACAUUUAGUUUAUAUUCAAUUAAAAUUUUAUGAAAAGUCCUAAUUCUUUGAAAAAUAUGAGAUUUAAACCAAAAUGUAGAUUUCUAAAUCGAUGAGGGCAGAACUUUAAACUUGGGCAAUGACUUGCACUAAAGUUGUGCCAAAAAAAAGAACUCUUAGGACAACACACAUACAAUUUCCAUUAACUUCUGAUUACAUUAGUUUUGACUAAAGAAUUAAUGCUUUAAAAAAUCAACAAAGUUUGAUUCAAAUGAAUAAGUUUAUUGUCAAAAAGAAAUAGAAACUAAGUCCAUAGAAGUUUGUGCAAUAAUUUGACAACUUCCUUUGCAUGGAUGUGUUCCUUUUCUCCUUUUUUUUUUCUUUUUUUUUCCUUUAUACUCCCAUAAAUAUAUUUAAUUGAUGUAAGUUUGUAUAUUUUAGUGUUAUAAAGCAUUUUGCUCAAAAAAACAUGGGACCCCAUCCCUCUAUUUUAGAAAGGCAAAGCAUCAUGGCCAAAUCUAUUUCUCUUAUAGACAUGGAUCCACAUAAAAAGGCUACUUAUUCCCGUUCCUAGGGUCAUUACAUUACAUGUUUAUAGUUUGUUAUUAUUAUUUUUUAUGUGUGAUUUUGACCCUUGGUCAAUAUAAUAUAGAAAUGCUCAUUGUAUUGAUAAGGCACACCACGUAAUGCUCUAUCAACCAUUAAAACUCAUGUCCAAUCCAGUUUGCAUACUAUCCCAAAUGAGCCCAUUCUUUUGAGCCUACAUGGCACUUGGCAUGGCAUUUGGGGAUCAUUUAUAUGCCACAUGGACUCAAAGGCCUUGGAGGUGGUGCCACAUAAGCAAGAAUGCCAUGCGGGCACAUGAGCAUUUGAAGGAGGUGCCAUCCAUAGUGUAAUAUAAAAAAGUAAUGAGAAAUUGACCUCCAAAUAGUGGUUCAUGCUUAGACCUUGUCCAAUCCAAACAGUUUCAGAUAAGUUUUAAGUGGAAAAAACAAAAAAAACAAAAGGAAAGAAAAAAAAUAAAACGAAGAAUGAGAGAAUGAAUACACACACACACACACACACAUAUAAAUAUAUAUAUAUAGAAAGGUAUCCAUACAUGGUAGUAAUUCUUUGGCACUGAAAUAAAAUUAGGAAUAAUAAUAAUAAUAAUAAUAACAGUAUUAAUUUAGGAUGACCCAUGUACAUAGAUAGAUACAGUGAAGAAGAUUGGAAUAGGAACUUGGAAAUUUCAACAAUGAACAUUGAUACACAUCUAUGCUUGGGUGUAUUACUUAUAUUUACAGCAUAGUUGCGGAUUCUCGUUGCUUGUCUCCAAAGAUAAACUUAGAUAAUGUGUAGUUUUGUAUGUAUGUGAAUAUUACACUCAAUGGAACCCCGUAAUUUUAGUCACAGUAUCUACAAUUGAAACUAAUUAUAUCCUCGCAGUUUUUUUGAUGGUGUGAAACCUUUAUGCCGUGUCUUCAAAAACUUUUGGAAAUUCAUGAAUAAGAAUGAGAUUGCGUUUCAUGAGGUCCACAGAAUCUCAUUCCAUUAAUGAGGAAGAAAACUAUUCACCUGUCAUCAAAGGACUACCAUAUUUAGGCUGCUUGGAAUAUCCUUUUUCAUUUAUUGAACUGUCUGCACAAUAACAAUUAGUGUCCACAUGUCUAUGAAUGUAGUCCCAUGUCAGCCCAUUUGACCUAUGGAAAUGGGUAAGAAUUUAUAUAUAUAUAUAUAUAUAUACAUAUUUGUGUGUUUAUAUAUAUAUAUAUAUAUGUAUAUCUAUAUCUAUAUACUGGAUAAAUAAAUAAAUAUGUAUGAUCUUAUUUUUUGGAGUGUGCCAGUGUUUGAGAUGAUGCUUAGAAAAGCUGACUGUGAGUACUCCACCAAGUCAUCGACACAGAUCAUAUAAUAAUUGAAACCUGUUUUUUUUAAUAGUUUUUUCUUGAAAAGGAAUAAAUUUGACGUUUUCACAAUGGGCAUCAAGGCCAUAUUUGCUUGGACGUUUUGGCAUGAUGUUCAUGUGGUUAAUCAAAAUGGUGUCAGAAUAAUCCACAUCAGGGUACCAAUCAUUUGAGCCACAGUCUGUUACAUAAUGUGGAGGGAUGCAUUGUGGAAGAAAAUGUGGAGUCAUUUUAGGUCAAUUGGUAAAUUGGGAAUUUAAUGUUUUUUAAUUAGCUAGGGCUGUGAACAAAUACCACAAUAAUGUUGUGAUGUCUUGUAAAAGUCAGAGGUUUGAAUGUAUAGACCAAAGAACAUGUCAGGCAUGGGAUCUUGUGUUCUUGAGAGAGUGUAAACAUAUAUCUGAGAGGGGUUUAUACACAUAUAUAUAUAUAUAUAUAUAUAUAUGAAAUAGACUGUAACCCAUGUGCCAUGUAGACAGUAACCUAAAUCACAAACACUUCGUGUACCAGUUCAGAUUCCAUGAAAUUAAUGCACCAAACAUAUUCAAAUAUAAAACAUGUCAGAUCAGAUUUCCCCUACUAUCAAUUCGCACUUUGUACCAUGAAACAUUUAUUGAUAUGUACGUAUCAUCGAUAAAUGUUUCAUGAUCUGGAAAAUCUGUUCUAAGUGAUUCUAGUCUGCUCUAUAUCAAAGAAUCGUUUGGUACUCUAAUAAACAGAGGCUUUUUGUGUGUGUGUGUGAAUGCAGAUAUACCUACACACAUAUGUACAUGUAUGACUGUAGAAAGAUAAGCAGUGACCAUUUCUCCAGUAUGUCAUACACAAGGAAAACUAAAAAGACUAGUAUUCUAAAAGGUAAAGGAUCCCACAAGAAAAGGGAUUAUUUAAAACCUUUGGGGCGGAAUGUGACAUUUCUAGUAGCGGUUAUAGCCAGAGGCGCAGUGGCUGCUGACUCUCGUCAAGUCCACUGUCGGCUGCCAGGCUGGUGCACGAAACCAAGCUUCGACGAGUCACACAGUCGAAGAGCAUCUUGCCACGAAGGACAUAGAAAUGGGUUUAGAAGCACAAAGUCAAGGAGAAUCGGUGGAGGUAUUUCAUGGACCGGUGUCGAUCUUCUCGGCAGCUGAUGCUUCGAUGACCUGAUCCUCCACCAGCGCUGGAGGAGGAGGACGAAGGGACAUAAGUAUAAGAUGUAAUGUGUAGAAUGGACAAAGAUAGAAAGUAGCUCGACAGAGAGUCGUCGGGUGUGGGUUCGACGAGGGAUCGCAUCCUACAAGUGCACACUAAGAGCCAGCGUCGCAGGUUGACCUUGAACUCGGCAAGGGGACCCAAAAUUACCACGCUAGUGAAACUCGGCAAGGGGACCCAAAAUUACCACGCUAGUGAAACUCGGCAAGGGGACCCAAAAUUACCACGCUAGUGAAACUCGGCAAGGGGACCCAAAAUUACCACGCUAGUGAAACUCGGCAAGGGGACCCAAAAUUACCACGCUAGUGAAACUCGGCAAGGGGACCCAAAAUUACCACGCUAGUGAAACUCGGCAAGGGGACCCAAAAUUACCACGCUAGUGAAACUCGGCAAGGGGACCCAAAAUUACCACGCUAGUGAAACUCGGCAAGGGGACCCAAAAUUACCACGCUAGUGAAACUCGGCAAGGGGACCCAAAAUUACCACGCUAGUGAAACUCGGCAAGGGGACCCAAAAUUACCACGCUAGUGAAACUCGGCAAGGGGACCCAAAAUUACCACGCUAGUGAAACUCGGCAAGGGGACCCAAAAUUACCACGCUAGUGAAACUCGGCAAGGGGACCCAAAAUUACCACGCUAGUGAAACUCGGCAAGGGGACCCAAAAUUACCACGCUAGUGAAACUCGGCAAGGGGACCCAAAAUUACCACGCUAGUGAAACUCGGCAAGGGGACCCAAAAUUACCACGCUAGUGAAACUCGGCAAGGGGACCCAAAAUUACCACGCUAGUGAAACUCGGCAAGGGGACCCAAAAUUACCACGCUAGUGAAACUCGGCAAGGGGACCCAAAAUUACCACGCUAGUGAAACUCGGCAAGGGGACCCAAAAUUACCACGCUAGUGAAACUCGGCAAGGGGACCCAAAAUUACCACGCUAGUGAAACUCGGCAAGGGGACCCAAAAUUACCACGCUAGUGAAACUCGGCAAGGGGACCCAAAAUUACCACGCUAGUGAAACUCGGCAAGGGGACCCAAAAUUACCACGCCAGUGAAACUCGGCAAGGGGACCCAAAAUUUCCACGCCAGUGAAACUCGGCAAGGGGACCCAAAAUUUCCACGCCGGUCGCAGUGCAGGAAUUUCACUGGCGUGGCGUUAAUGCGGGGUCUCCCACGGCGGUGAGUUCUCCACUUUUCUGUGUAUGAACAGAAAAGGGAGAAGGAUUCUUACUGCGCGUCGUCUCGCAAACAAACGAUCAACUGUUGUUCAAGAUAAAGUGGAAAACCCAGUUGAAUAGAUCGCGGACGGGAUUGCAGGGCUGUGCGUCUGUGCUCUUGCGCUGGCCACCCACGACGAUCCACGAGAAUUGUUUACGAUUUUCCCCUGAGACUCAUCUCAACGCUCCACUGGAGGAAUCUGAUGGUCACUGCGAAGCUGUUUGGGCUUGAAUCCCUGAUUGCUGGUUGUAAGUCGAAAACGAGGCGAAAUACAACACGAAAUUACAAACCUAUUGUUUGAUGCAUCGAGAUCUAAGACUAUGACCCAGUUAAAGCAGCAGGCUACAGCUUGAUCAUUGAAAACAAAGGGUCUUGUCGGAUUGUACUAAAAUAUGCACUCAUUCCGAGCACCGCAACGACUGCAAACAACCCGCGCAGAGGGUAGGGGUGCUGGGCCCGCUCAGCCCACGUACUGGAACUGCAGGUAGGAUAGGGGCUACAGCGUAAGAGCUUUUCUACAGUGAUGCGAAUCCUGGAAUUCCUAGCCCUUCGUUUGCGCCGGCAUCACGCAACCAGCUCACUCUUAUGUCCAAAGUUGUCAGCUCGGGGCGGCUGGGGGGCGCACUCGCGUUGCUAAUACCCCAUGCUCUCCCCCUCAGACCAGCAAACAGACUCGGUACGAGUCACAGUCCUCUUUGGGAGCAGCAGCUCUGAGGCUACCUUCCCUUUUCUCUUCUUCGACUCUUUCUGUCUCAGGUACACAGCACUGGGCCUUAGAUUUUCACUGUGCAGCCAGGAGCUGCACCUCUCCUCAUGCUUGGAGUGUGGAUAGUGGUACUUAAUUUCGUUGAAGUUGUGAGUGUAGGGGUUCGUGUGGUUCAUAAAUCACGUUACAAUAAUCCUGAGUCAGGGUGGAUGAUGUUGGUGCUAAGACUUGGUAUUACCGAUGUGGUGUUCUCAGAAUUAGGCAGUUGAAGGGGCAAUUGCGCGCACACCGAUUGGUGCAGCGCACCUGGUGUUGAAUCAGCUGGGACUGGUGCCGUGGUGAGAGGGGGUUCAAUUGGUUGUGCGUUGCGGUACAGACAGUUCAGUAGUUACAGUGAGAACCUGCAAACAGGGAAGUUUUAGUUUAGACUGGCGUAAUUCAGACUGAUGAGCUAAGUCAAGCUUGGUGCUUCUUUCGGUGGCCGUGGUGGGUGUCUUCGAGACUGGAACCACGGUACCUGUCUCCGAUAAAAGCAGGUCCAAUGACCCGCUUUCAUCUGCAGGGGAUGGAAGCGACUGCCACUACCAUGGUGGUUACGGCUCUCUUGGUCUCUCUGUUCAUGGUGCAAGCAGCAGCUACUAGUGCACCUGCAACCUCGCCUGCUCCUUCACGUACGCCACUUCCUCAUCUCUCCUGUGUUUUGAAGUUUUCCAAAGAACUGGUCAUUAGCUUCGUCAAAAGUUUAGUGUUUAGGCCCUCACAGAAUCAACUAGGUCAUGGAAACCAUAUCUUGCGAGUCAAACGCUAAUUAUUAUGUAUAUAGAUUUAGUAAUUUACAAUAUGGGAAACAGUCAACAAGGAUCUUUUGUUCUUUUCUUCAAAUUCUGAUGUUAAAUUGACCUUUUGUUUUUUUAUUUCAUGUUACACAUGAAGAUGUUAGAUACCUCAGCUGAAAGACCUCGUGAUGGUGCAUAUGUUUCUAUGACAUGGGACAUGGUUACUUUGAACCCGGUUCGUCCCAAUCAGAAGCACUAAUACGAGAUUUUUGUCGUCAAGCAGACCCUUUCUUCGGAAACCGAACGACUGGAAACCAUCCUCCGGGGCACGGCGGUCAUCCUCAAGGAACUGGACGUCAUGGAUAUGCAUGGAGCAAGUGGAGAGCCUACAUCGCUCUGCAAUGCUGGAAGAAGGCUAUCACCGAAGAUCCCAACAAUAUCCUUGCGAGUUGGAAUGGGAAGGAUGUCUGCAGUUACAAAGGAGUAUAUUGUGCUCCUCCACCUGAUCCCAAGUACUCUUACCUCACGGUUGUAGCCGCAAUCGAUUUGAACGGUGCGCAACUGAAGGGUACUUUGGUGCCGCAGUUGGGCGAACUUCGAGAGAUUGCUCUGUUCCACUUGAAUAGCAAUCGAUUCUAUGGAGGAGUGCCAGAUUCAUUCCGAUACAUGAAGUUGUUGACUGAACUGGAUCUUAGCAACAACCAGUUGGGCGGGGACUUUCCGAAAGUCGUCUUGGCCAUCCCCAAGUUGGCUUUCUUGGAUCUCCGCUUUAACACGUUCUAUGGCAAGCUGCCGAGUGAGCUGUUCUCAAAGCGUACUUUACAAGUGAUCUUUGUGAACAACAACAAUUUUGAAGGUACUAUGCCGAGCAACUUCGCUCAGUCCGAAGUCGCUGCCCUUGUGCUUGCCAACAACAAGUUUCAAGGAAACAUUCCUAAGACCAUUAAUAAUAUGAGCAACACCCUGUACGAGAUUCUGGCUUUGGGCAACGAAUUCGAUGGUGGAAUUCCUGACGGUAUUGGUAAUUUGAAAAAUCUCCUGCUCUUCGACUACAGUUCCAACAAAAUCAACGGAGGGUUGCCAGAUAGCCUUCAAAAUUUGCAGGCUCUCGAAAUAUUCAACAUGAGCAAGAACUAUAUGGGCGGAGCAGUGACUGCCGAGAUCUGUCAGCUGAAAAAUUUGUCGGCUCUAGCUCUCAGCGACAACUACUUUAAUAGUCUUGCGUCUGCAUGUAAACAGAUUAAUCAAACGGUGUUGAAUGUCACUGGAAAUUGCCUUUUUGCCGAUAAAAUUCCUGAUCAGAAGGAUAAGGAUACAUGCGCAAGGUUUUACGGGUGGAGUCCACCUCCUCCUCCUCCAUCCCCCCCACCACCUUCCCCUCCUCCUCCUUCUCCCCCACCACCUUCCCCUCCUCCUCCUUCUCCCCCACCACCUUCCCCUCCUCCUCCACCUCCAUGCCCCUAUGGUUACCAACCCGGCAAGUAUUCGGGCACUUGUUUCAUGCUUGUCACGCAUUGCAAGACCUGGGAGUACGCCGAACAUUACUGCAACCAGCAAUCGGGCGGUCACUUGGCUGCCGUGGCUGACUGGGACGAGCUGAAGGAUGUUGGCGAGCUCUGCGCACAAUCAAACGUAACAGUUCAGGGUGACUCGAGCGAUCCUAAGGGACUUGGUUGCUACGUAGGUGGAAGGAGACCUUGCAAUCUCUCACCUGCGACGAAUGGAUGGAACUAUCCAGGUUCUCCUUGCAUUGAUGUCCCGUCUCUGUGGAACAUGGGAGAGCCUAACAACUACGGAGGUCAAGAGGCCUGCCUUGGAGUUAAGUACGAAUCCGAUGCCCAGGCUUAUGACAACAGCUAUCUUCCUUUCAUGCUCAACGACUUGAGAUGUGAUAUCCAGCUUCCGUUUAUCUGCACCUUGACGCGCUGUAGCGACUAUGGAUGUGGGAUGUCCAAGACUUGCAAGACUCUAGGCGACCACAACUCUACGUGUAGCUGGGACGACAGUGCUGCCGUUGGAUACAAAUGCCAGUGUAGUGAAGGUUACUUUUCGGAUGAUUCUGGUACUUGUUCCCCCAAGUAAGUUAUUUUCUUUGUCAAGUUCAGUACUGAUACCAGGUGUGUGAGGAUACCCAAGCUGCCAAAAACGCGGCAAAGGCGGAUGGAAUGGAUGAUCAGUUGCUGUAACUACUUCACUUCGACGAAUUUGGAUUAGCAGCAGUCGAUGGUGGUGUUCUAGCCAUUAGGGGUUUAACAGAUCAGGGAGGGUUGUUAUUAGUCAGGGCAAUCGAAGACUGUUCAUCGCCUGCGUCUAACACUUUCAAUUCCCACACAUACGGGGGGUUGGGACUUCGAAGUGGGUUUGAAUAAUUAGCAACAGCCAUUUAUUGAUAUCUACCAUUUAGUUGAUAUCUUGAGGUGGUGAGCUUCAAAAAGGAUAAUGGAGCCCUGCGGCUACGACUGCACCCAGUUCGAAUGAGUUGCCCCACUGCCGAACCUCUGGCUGUGAAUAGAUUCUUUUAGAGUUUUCUUUUUCUUGUGAAUGUGGUAUUAUGUUGACACCACAAACGUUUUAUCUUGUUUGUUACCAGCUUUCAAUAAGACAUCUGGGGGCAGCUGUUUAAUUUUCACUGAACCAAUCCUUCGUGACGGUUUUGUUUUUCCCUCUCUGUACGCACUGCACAUUUCUUUCAAUUAAGUGUAUUGAACUCCAAUGCUUUUUCGUAUCCAUUUCUCAUAUCGUGGUAUUUUAUUUGCAUGCAUUAGUUGUCUGUUGUUGUAGUUGUUUAGAUGUGAGCCUUGUCAUGUCAGACUGUUGUCCAUCAUCGACAAUUUUUCAAGACAAGAAGUCGCAUUUGUGGUUCUUGAACAUUUCAUUAAAGUUCAUUAUGUUCUAAAAAAUAUUUGUCUGUACAUAAGAAAGAUUGGUUACAAUCUUCUAUUCUCUUGAAUUACAGUGUAUGUACUCUUUCCACUUUUGCACACUACAGAAUUUUUAGCUGCUACAUCACAUCCACAUGGACUAUUGAAGCACGUGUAUUCUUUACGUCUUUAUCCACAAAGCCGAAGCAAGAUGUUAGUCUCAGAUACAUUAUUUAAUGGGUCUGUAGAUGAGAAACAACCCUGUUAGAAGACAACGCCAGCCACCAGCAGAGACCACGAAAACCUUGUCCCAGCAAUCACAAGCAUUUUUUAAUUUGGACCGAUUCGAAAAGCACACUGGAACACUCUGGAAGGAGUCUUUCGCUAGGUGGGCAACCCAUGGCAAGCAGUAGCGACUACAAAUCACCAGCCUGGAGAAUCUGGAAAAAGAAGGUGUAGAAACGAAAACAACAGAGAAUAAGUUAACGCAGCGCAAGGCAAGUGCACCUCAUGAAAGUCACCAGGCAUACAUGAGGUGUUGUCUUCCAGGGAAGGAAAACCCAAGAGAGUUGGAUUGUCAUUGACCCAUUACUCAUCGAUGAACUGGUUUCGCCUUCCAACCGACGAUUACACAAAGCUGGACUACCCUCAAUCUAAACGAUUCACGACGUCCACUUUCCUGGGCUUUCAUAUCCACGGCUCAGGUUCUCGACUAAUGCGAACCCCGAUCACUUCCACCCAACUGCAGGAAUCUGUUAUCAACUGGUCCAAAAAGUUGACUGCAGACUCAGGUCAGGUUCUAGGUGGAAGUCCAGCACUUCGCUUACUGGAGCUAUUCCUUGAGAAAAUGGUGCAGCUGCAGACAACCAAUGAAGCGAGUGUAAUGAAGUUCUCACGGUUGAUUCUCACAACUUUAAGCGGUUUCAAGUCUGAUCGAACCUUUGCAUAGUAUGGGAAGGAAGUGAGAUCAGCGCAACUGUUGAAAUUGCUUCUGUGAAAGCGAUCACCAGAUGCGCGUCUGACGACGCCGAGAUUAGAGAUGUAGACAUGGUUGAGUUCUGUGGCCUCGGCGCCGCAGAUCAAAUUGGAGUUUCACUGCACCUGAGGAGACCACAAAGCGAUCCGCGUCGCACGGUCUCGUCGAAAUACUGGCUUGUCGGUAUCGUGGCCACCGCGAAGCGCGUAGAUGAAUGAUAAUAUUUCAGUUGCUGCGAAUUUGGAUGAAUAUCCACAUUCAUCUCAUUCAGUGUGAAACUUGGACAUGCUUGAUAUUUCAGGAUUUUAACCCGUUCUACCGACAACAAAAUAAGUAGGAUUAUUGUAUAGUUUUUUUUACUUUUCAGUUUCUAUUUCUAUUUUUCUUUUAACAAUAAAUAUGCAUAUAUAUUUUAUAUUAUAUUUUUAUUUUUAAAGUGAUAUCAUGAACUCCAUUAUAAGUUGUAUUUUAAAUUUAAUGAUUGUAAGCAUAUAUUUAAUGGCAUUUAUAUCAACACUUUAAUUUUCCUAGUUUUGGGAUGAUUUUAAAAUAUAGGUUGACUCAUAUUAAUAAGUACAAAAGCCUUUACUUGUUAAGAAAAUAAUUUUUUUUUGUCUGGAUUGAUAUGUUGAAAGUAUUUCAUUAGUCGUUCCACACUCACUUACACAAUGAUGAACGUAUGUGUAAUUUAAGAGAUAUGUAAUAUUAUGAUUUUUUUAUUGUAUUUUUAGUUUGAAUUAGAACUUUUUUACUUCAGCUUUCAUUUCAGGUGACAUGAUAAAACUUAGUAUUUUUAAAUUAAUAAGAUACGUAUGUUCUAUAAAUUUAAGAUGGAAAGUUUGAUGAUAGUUUAAUAAUCAUUAAUAAUUAAUAUGUAUAGAAUGAUAUAAGUACACCUAUUUAUUUUAAGUUUAAAUAUAUGAGAACCUUAUUUUCAUGCUAUUUCUCAAACCAUAGUUGCAAAAAUGGAGUUUGAAGUACUUCUUAGUAACAUUUAUUUAACUUUAAUUUGGAGUCAAAAUUUUGGAGUCAAAAUACUAAAUAGUAAAAUAAUUUUAGAUCUAAUCAUCUCACCUUUAAUUGAUACUGAAAUGAUUUGAUACUCAAAAGUAGUUAAAAUAUGUGUUACUUGUAAUCACUUAAGCUUCUAAAACAGGUUAUGUAAAUAUAAUUCAAUACAUUGUAACUUUUAUUUACUAUCUUUGCAAACAAUAAAAGUAGCAAAAAAUGAGAAUACCAAAGUUUGAUAAUAAAGAUAACUUUUAUGUUUGAUAAAUUUAAUGAUUUUUUAAUAUUUAGAAGUGUAAAAUAAUUGGCAUAUAUUAUAAUAUAUUAAGAGGAAUGUUAAAUAGAUCUAAGUUUUGACUAAAUCAACCCACCCAUGAUAAAGAACAUGAUAAUCAUAAUGAAUGUGAUUGAUUUUCAUUGGUUGCAGAUCCAAUAUUGGAGAAAUGAAUCUAGAUUAUUUAUUUUUAUUUUUAUUUUUUCAUAAUGGUCAAGAUGGAUGGGUUAAUUUAGUAAAAUCAUGGAUUUAUUCAACAUUACUCUAAGUUAAUAUAAUUAGUAGUCAUAUAAAUUUGAAAAAUUUUCAAUUACAUAGUAGUUACUAUAAAUAUAAAAUUUAGAUACAAAUAAUACUUAAUAUUGCAUAUUCACAUACUAUAUAUACAUAAUCAUUUUUUAAAAUACAUGAUUUUUAAAAUAAUAAAGAGUGGUAAAAAAAAAAUUAUUUGCAUAUGUAAGAUUUUAGUUUCAUUAGGUAUUAAAAAAAAAAAAAAAAAAAAAAAAACCCUCAUUACAUAAGAGACAAGCUUGUAAAAAAAGGACACAACAUAUGUGUUUCUUGGUUAUCAUAAAAACAUCAAAGCAUGUGUAUUAAUUUUUUAAUGAAUAAAGUUUUUAUUAAGAAUUAAUUUUUAUUUUUAAUAAAAUAUUAGAAGACCAAUUAGAAUUUUAAAGUAUAUAUAUAUAUAUAUAUAUAUAUAGAUAUAUAUAUAUAAGAAUUAAUGUAAUAGUAGACAUAUCUUGAUUAUUUUAAAAAUAUAUUAAGGUGAUUGAGACCAAAGAAUAAUAAUAAUAACUUUUAUAAAGUUAAAGAAUUUAAUUUAUUUGUAUUUGUAUAAAAAUAAAUAAAUAAAAUUAAUCUAUAAUAAACUAAAAAAAACAUUAAUUUUGAAAGUUAACAAACUAAAAAAAUCAUUAUAUGAAAGAGUAUCAACUAUUUAGAAAGUAGUAUAAGAAGCAUCUCUUUUUAAUGAUUGGUGGAAAAAUUAUAUAUAUAUAUAUAUAUAUAUAUAUCUCUGUAGUAUUAAAAUUUUAAGGUUAUAUAACUAAAAUUACAAAUAAAUAAAAAAAUCACAAAGAAGAUUUUGAGUUGUUCAUAGAGAAUACAUUUUCAUAAUAAAACUUUAAAAUUAUAAAAAAUACUUAAGAAAUGAUUAAAAAAUAAAUAAAUAAAUUUUAUAGUAGAAAGCUAGUACAAAACACAUCAUUAUCACAAGUAAAUGCAAAUCUAUUGAAAUUAUAUUUAGAAAAUUUAAUAACAAAAAUAAUCUAUAUACAACUCUAUUUUUUAGAAUUGCAAAAUAUAAAGACAAAGAAUAUGGAGAUAAUUUGUAAUGUUAUAGAUGCCAUUUAACUAAGCAAACUAAUGAAAAAAAACACCAUACAUGUCUAAUAGAAGCACUAUUUAUUUUAUAUAUGUAAAAAAAAUACUUCAUAUUUAUGAAAAUUUCAAAUAUUAACUUUGCACAACACAAAUUGACAUAUAAUGUUAUAUUAAUUAUAACGCUCAUAAAAUAGUUUUUGCAACAUGAAUCAAGUGGAAAAGGGCUCAAUGCUCAAUUGCCAAACUAUCACCAGCAUCUUGUAGUAAGAAUACCAUACAAAGCUGCAUGCAUCCUGCAACAACACAAAUCACCAACCUGAACAACAAGAUGUAGUUGCUCAAAGCUUGAGCUUCUUUGAGACUGGCUUUAUGUUGAGAAAAUCCUCAUUCCUAAACUUUGCUAUCUUCCCAGCAUUUCCAUUGGAAAAUCUUGACUGUGUUGGUGCUUGUUGCAGUGAGGCUUUGUGCGGCAAACUGCCUUUGGAUUUCAGCUUGUGGGUCAAGACCUUCUGAGCUUCAUCCGCUUCGAGUAGCCCGUGUUCCAUCAACCUGCCACACCACAUUCCUACACUGAAUUUUAGCUCAAGAGAAAUCAAAAUGCAUUAAGAAAUCAACGACGAAGACGAUUGGAAACAGCAUGUUUCAAGCAUGUUAAGGGCAGUGUUUUCAUACCAGAUAUUAGCCAUGUCACUUGUGGGUAUCUGCCUGUGGAGCGAUUCAUAAAACAAUCUCAAUGCGUCUCUCUGGUAUUGCAACAACCAGUAGCAAAUCACGCCAUGAGACUGUUAGCAUACUACUCAGAAACCUUCCGAAGUUGGUCUCAAAUCAUGUGAAUAUACAAGUUCUGAAUUGAGAUUUUAACUGAAUCCUAUGUUCUACAAAACAUGAGACUCUUACCUCCUCCGGGGUUUCAAAUCUUUGACCCGGUAGAGAGAAUGCUUUCUUCAUGUGUUUCUCCUGCUUUUUUUUGAUGGCGGAUGUGGUAACCAACUUGACAGCCUUCGGAGCUUUUGCAGCAUGAAUUCUUACCUAUGUCACAGCAAGUGCACAACACCAUAAAGAAGCUUUUUUUAAUCUUCAUCUUGAUCCAAAAAAUCAGCUCUGACGUUGAAUUCUUAAGCCGCAUUUCUAGCCUAUCAAUUUGCAAAAUUUCAGACGAUUGGGCGGUACAAAGGUUUGAAGUGCUCAUAGCGUUUACCGGCUCUGCAAUCUUUGUGGCAGUCCUCAUUUGCACAUCUUUGCCACUUUCCGCAGGUCGCUUCCUGUUACUUGAGACCUUGUUUUUCUUUGUGUCUUCCAAUUGUGCUGGCCUCACCGCAGUCUUCCCUUCCGACCACACCUUGCCACUUGCACUAUCCUUCUUCACGGUCUUCUCGCUUUCAAAUCCCGUCAAAACUCUCGUUCCAUCACUGUGUCGUUCAACAGUCUUAGGCUUUAAUGGCUCUCUUGGUUUUUCAUUCCUCAUCUUUGUGUCUUCGAUACCUAAGACUUGAAUCUUUUGGAAGCCCUCGUUAUAUGUGCGCUUCUCUCUGGCAUCUUUGAUCUUGUGCUGCGUCUUUACGUCUUGGGUUCUCUUGAGACUAUCCCUUUCUACAUCGUGUUUCGAUUUAGGUCGCACUUUCUCACCGGUUGCUUGAGUUCUACCUACGUUCUCAGUUGAUGGGUUCCUGUCUGCACUGACCUUGGCUUUUAGAUGAGGAAUUGGCACCAGAGACUUUGAUUUUAUGUACUCUUUACUUGUCUUCGGUGGCUCCGUUCCUGUACUCUUCAUUUGAUCACAACUACGUUUCAACGCAACCCCAGUGCUAUCUGCGUAAUCUUUCCCGAGUCUCUCCAGCGGUGUUGCUGCAACUCUGCCGCUCUUCGAACCCCCUGCUAUGGUUCUGGGUGGAUCUUUACUACUCAUCGGGGUGGACCGUAUUCCUGGUUUCGAAGGCUUGUAAUCCAUCUCUCAGGCGCUUGAAAUCCUCCUUAGUUCAGCUAUAGCUUAUCCCCUCCAAGACCGGGAAGAUCGAGUCCUGCAGCAGUGCAGGUGCUUGUACAUGAAGAUGGGGGUACCUUUGAAACUAUGGCGCAUUGUAAAAAUAUAAAAAUGCUGGAACAAAAUAAAUCAACAUGAUUGAGAGGUUGUAGAAGUAUGAAAAUCUAACAUAGUACAGAAGUCUUUGUUGAAUAUAACAAUUACAUUCUUCACAAUGACCGACUAGAGUCUUAAACUCUUGGUGUCGAAGUUAAUAGAUGUUGUAGAAUUCAAUGUACGAGACCAGAUUGCAGCAGAUGUCUUUUCAAACUGGACUGCAACACAGGACCGGAACACUGGGAUUCGAGGAAUAUGUUCCUGCUGCAGCACCACGAACCGCCAUUGCAACAAAUUUAGAUUAGUGUACCUCCUGAGACUUGGAUACUACCGACCCGAGCUCCAUCUCACUUGUCCGAACCAAUGGGCACGAGAACUUAAAUUCCAAAGGAAUUUUAAUAAAUCUAGUUCUAAUUAUUCUCGAAUUUAUGAGUAGGCACACCAGCAACACACACUCCGCCCAGUUUCUGUCACUAAGUAAUUCUUUGAUUCCAAGGUUUCAGAGGCUUCCAAGCCAAAUUUCAGCAUCUAGCCCACCACUCACAAGUUUGUUUGCCGAAUUCUUGAGGGUUAACUUCCACUCUAAACCAAAAACCCACCAAAACAGAACACGCCCAAAAUCACGCACACCACGCCCCUGCAAACAAUUUCGGAGUAAUCACCACUGAAUACCGAUUUAUUCUCAUGCAGCUCUCGCUAGGAUGGAGUGACUUCAUGUGCGUACAUCACGAGCACAAAAUAUAAGAACAGAUUAGCAAUUGAAAUCGCUCCCUAACCCGAAAACAAUUGUAGACACGCGCCACGAAGCCACAGAAUCCACUCCUGCCCCACUAAGUUCUCGCGUUAAAGCCUCUGUUUCCUCUAGACAGAUUGUGUAGCGCUGAGUUCUCAUCAUCCUCAUACCUGUGCAAGCUUCUUCCACUGGUCCUGUCUAGAGCCGAAAGAAUUGACCGCCUGGGAAAGACUCCACGGUCCCCGCAUUUAGAAUUUAUGAUCUGCAGAACCAGAACCUGUGUCGUCUUCCUGCCAACAUCUGGAGCGGAAGAGGCAAAAGGCCCUGCUCUACAAGUUGCCGCGUGCUAGUAGGGCUGUUGUCGGUGAGUUAGGAUUUCCCAGCGCUGAUAACAGGUUGCUGACUCGUAAUGGCUGAAUCCGCAACGUGCUUGCGCGUCGUCCUGCUAAACUCCUCCAACAAAGAUGCCAAAAGAAGAAAAAAAGGUACUCUCUGACAACUUGAGUGUGUCCUGAACGUUCCUUGGAGCAACACCGACGAAAUGAAUCAGGUGAUACGGGGAGAGUCUUCGGACAAUCCCGGGUUGACUGAUUUGAAGAUGGACUACCCCAAGUCACGAGAAUUAUCGAUAUGGCACUGCACCUUUCGAUGCUUGUGCUGGAUGGACCAAGGCGGAUGAGAAACCGCGCUACUAUUUUCAUGCAUAUCUGUUCGCCGCGAGGCACCUGUUGGACUGUUUCAAGGUUUUGCGAAACCAUAUUAAUUACAAUUUUUUUCAUUAAAAACAGUUGCAAACAUUACGCAAAUCCACCAACGUCCAUGUGCUCUGAGUAUGAACUUCACGUACCUUCACCCUUUGUUCUUCUUCCAGCAGGAUUCCGUAACACUUAACGAACCAUUCACAAUAAUUAUAGGCACUUUUCACACAACUCCAAGGGUAAGGAAUCACACCAACGUUUUUUUGGUUCCCAUGUCUUUAUUCGAACCCACUCCGGCCCACGGUUUCCAAUGCGAACAGUUCCACUUCACUUCAACGGGAAUCACGCGAAAGGGAAACAAGCUCUCAACAUUCUAGCUAGCACGAGGGGGUUCAACGUUCUAGCUUCGACCUCUACAGCCCAACCCGCCGUCCGAGAGAGCUCAGCCGCGGUGGUCACCGAGCAUGGUCCCCACAUGGUGAGCAGUAAUGCAGAUCUAUCUAUCUAUCUAUCUAGAUUGCGAUGAGGAUGAUGCUGGCUACACUGGGUGCUCCUGCUGCUGCUGCUUAUUUCAGCGUCGUCGUCGUCUUCGUCUUCUUCACUGUGUUGUGUUGCCGUAGAUCAUCGUCUUCAUCUUGUUGUGUGUGUUUUUACGUUUGAAACAUUUGAGUGGUGGUUAAUUUUAGUGCUGGUAUCCUCAUGUAGUAAGGUUAGAGAUUUCAUAAUUGGAAUUUAUAUUGUAAACUUCUUUGCACCAACUUGUUAUUCUUUGGUAUUUUAACUUGGAUAGUUUAGUGGUGGACUAGCUAUGUUGUGUGUUUUUGGAACAUGGUUUGUCUAUGUUUUGGGUUUUGAAUGUGAUAUGCUUUUAAGAAGACAAGAAUUGAAGUAUUUGAGUAAUUGGGUCUUUGAAGUGUUUAGAGAUCUAGUUGUGAGGUUUGUUUGAAUAUUGUGGGUUCACAAGGAUGAACAUUGAGUUUGAUUGAAUUAUAUAUAAAUAUCAAAUAUUCAUUGUUUUUAUGUUAGCAUUUAACAAGCACGUUUUUAAAAUUUUAUAACUAAAAUUUGAACUAUUCAACUUAUUAUACCAACUUCUCAUUCUUAUGUAGUUUAAAAUAAUUAAAUAUAUAUUAAAAGUUGUUUUGUAUUAGAAUGUCACUUAUAAUAUACUUAAUAAAUUAAAAUAGACUAUUUGUAUAUGUGAAUAUAUAUAAUAAUAUUUACACAUUAAAUUUUAUUUAUUUUAUUUAUUUUUAUAUUUUAAAAUUAUAUAAAUAUAGAUAUGUCAUAAAAAUAUGUAACAUAAUGAAUUAAUUUUUUAAAAAAUCAUAUUGCUUUGAAAAUAUGUUUAAGUGUUUAAUGUUUUUGUAAGCAUAUCUAUCAAUGUUAUGCAAAAUAAAUACAAGAUGAUUUAUGAAUUUAAUAAUGUAAUAAUCUAAAAUAAAUUGAUGUGAUAUUUUAUGAAUUGGAUUUGGAAUGUCUUAUGAAAUACAAUAAAAUAUUUGAAAUGUGAUUUUAUUUAUUUAUUUAUUUAUUUUUAAGUUAUCCAAACAUAUCAUUACUAUCUUAUUCAGAUGAAGUUCAAAAACCACAUCUUUAGAGAUUAAGUUGCAAUGUAGUAUAGCAAUAAAACAACUUUGUUAUUGUCUUUAAUAAAUUGAUUGGAAUUCUAAUAAAAAAAAAUCUUAAAAUGGUUUUAAAAUAGAACAAAUUACUAAUGAGUGAAUAGAUGCUAUUCACAAAAGACAAAAAAGAUUUAUGAUUAAGUUGUCAAGAUGUUGGUUCAAAAAACUAAAAAUAAAAACACAUAAUUAAUAAAAUUUAUAAAAAUAAAAAUAAAAAUAAAAAACUUGUUUAAACUUUGCAAAACUAAAAACAUUUUAAAUCUAAAUAAAUCCAUAGUUAUUUUUAAUAUUCAUGUUUGAAAAUAAAUAUUUAAUUAAUUUUUUUUCAAGAGUAAAUCAAAGUAUCUCAAGAAAGCAUUCCAAACAAACAAUUGUGUCUAAAUACACACAAUCAUAUCCUCUGAAUUCAAUGUCAACAACAAAAGAUAACUUACUUUCAAAUAACUGUUUUCAAUAAAUUAUUCCUAGAAACAAUAAAUCGUAUAAAAAAUAAAAAUAAAAAUAAACUACAAAGAAAGAGUCAAAUUACGAGUCAAAUUAAAAAUUGUAAAAUUUUCAAUGGAAAAUCACGUCCAAAGAAACAAUGCCAUUAAUCAACCAGCUCAACACCCCCCCCCCCAAAUAGCUACACUUUUCCACAUCCUUUUACGUUUUGGAGAACUUUUGUUUUUUAUUAUUUUGACUUGUUCCUUUCCUUUUGGGCGACGCCAUUUGUGUGUGUACGAGAGUGUGUGUGUUUUUUUGAGGGGACCGGGCUGCAAUUGCAGAGGCAGCGACGGUGGAAGAAGCGUGUUGCCGAAUCCCAGUCUCGCAAAGCAGCGUUGCGUGUGUUUAGUCGGUACCGUGAUCUACAUGAGUGAGAGAGAGACUUCGAUUAUAGUAAUCGCAGCACUUUAGUGGGGCAAGGAUUGAUUGAUUGAUUCAAGCAGCAGGCGCAGGUGCCCAUCGGAUUGAUUUAUUGAUUCAUUCAGUAGAUUGCAGUGCACUCACACAAUUUCACCAUGUUUUCAAGGCUGUUCGGGAAGCCCAAGCAGGAGCCCUCUACCCUGUCCACACUCGACAAGCUUAAUGAGGUGCGGUUAUCGUGGAUUCGAUUCGGAUUGAGAACUGGGUUUGUGUUUUUUGAUUGGGUGUUGUGAUUAGAGUUCGAGUUGAUUUAGGAAUAAUUUGGAUGUGCACUAUGGGUUUGAUGGGUGGAGACAGACCUUGGAGAUGUUGGAGAAGAAGGAAAAGGUGUUGCAGAAGAAAAUAGCCAUGGAGAUAGAAAAGGCUAAGGAAUUCACCAGGUUGAAGAAUAAGAGAGGUGAGCGCUGCGGUUGGUGGCCGUUCUGUUUGUGGCAAGAGGGAUGUGAUGCAUUUAGGGCUGGCUCCCGCUAAAGAGUAGGAGGUUGGGAUGUUUAGGGUUGAUGAUGAGUGCUGGUGUGAGUGACUGUUUGAUCUGGCAGCUGCGAUUCAGUGUUUGAAACGGAAGAGAUUGUAUGAAGUCCAAGUAGAACAACUGGGCAACUUCCAAUUGCGUAUCCAUGACCAGGUCCGAGAGUUCACUCUUCCUGAUUACAUUACAUGAUUCAAGUCCAGGUUCGGUUGUUGAGAAUGGGAUGAACUCCUAGAAUUUUGCCGAUUUCCGCUCGUGUGCACUCGAUCAUUCCUGUGUCUUUUGACCUAAUCAAGCUUCUGGUCGAUUCGUGUGUACCUCUGGUUUCACCGUCACGUGUCGUGUUGUUCUUUUCUCCUACAGAUGAUUAUGCUGGAGGGUGCUAAGGCAACGACAGAAACCGUGGAUGCUCUGCGCAGCGGUGCUGCAGCCAUGAAAGCCAUCCAGAAAGCCACGUACUGUACCUGCCCUUUCCUCUUGACGAAUCUCUGGCUCAGUGUUUAUAUCGAUUCACUGUUCUACUACAGGAGAACAUGGAACGCACCGAUCUUUAUUUUUGUUGUGUUAGCGUGCUGAUUAUGUCUCAAAGGUUAUGGAAGCGUUUUGUAUUAGUAUUAAUUGCAGAAUCCGUUAUAAUGCACCAGCUUUGCUUCCUAGAGCUAGGGACAAUACAUUUAUUUAGUAGGAUAUGGACUAACGUGACGUUAGUCAUCAGAAGGUCAUGUGUGAGCUGUUAACUCUAAAAUAUGAUAAUAAUGUGGUUUGCAGCAAUAUUGAUGACGUAGACAAGACGAUGGACGAGAUCAACGAGCAGACUGAGAACAUGAAGCAGAUCCAAGAGGCACUCUCAACACCAAUUGGAACAGCAGCUGAUAUUGAUGAGGUGAAAUUUGAAAUCCGAAUAUUGUGUUCUUUUCUUUUAUCUUUUCGUACUUUGUGAUGAUAUAUUUGAAGGGACGACUCUCAGCAGAAUGAUAAGUAGAUGGGGGAAAUUACUUGUUCUUGAGAAUAUGUUUGGUGCUUGGUGCAAAUUGCCGGUAGUUUUAAAACCGUUCGGUUCACUAGAAUAAUCACCACAAUUUUUGGACUAUUUCAUAUGAAGGAUUUAAAGGGUUUUGUUGCAUAAGAUGUUGUGGAUAGGCAUUUGUAGACUACAUUAUCUGACAUGCGCGUCAACCCUCUCCUUUGUGGCAAAUGUAUUGCAGGACGAGCUGGAAGCUGAGCUUGAGGACCUCGAAGGGGCUGACUUGGAAGAACAGCUCAUUCAGCCGUCUACUCACCAGCUUCCCCAGGCUCAAACAUACAAGCCUACUUCAGUUCCUACAAAGAGUCCUCCUACGACAAACACUGAGGAAGAUGAACUUGCAGCCCUUCAAGCUGAAAUGGCACUUUAGAAACAUAUCACCCCUGCCCCCUCAUCGCAUUUUGGAGUGUUUUUUUGGUCUCCACAUAAGUUUUUGUUCAGGUUUGUGUCAGUAUUCCAACUUGAUAAGCAAGUGGGCUCUGUCUCUAGAACGCUUUGAUUGAAAGUGAAGAUCACAGUGGAAACUGAAUCGCUUUCCAAGUUCCAGGUGCUAACCGGAUGGCAUAACGUGCUCGAUAGACACACAGAAGCGUGCAUGUAACUCGGACGCUUCUUCGGUCAUUGGAAAUGGUGAGAUCACACUCAGAAGGUAAAUAAGGUGUGGGCAAAAGCAUGGAAAGAUGGGUUUGUAUCACGAAUUUGGCUUAUUUAACUGGUUCGCUUUCAUUUGCACCUUCGAAGAGCAGCAAUUGGGCUCUUGCCGACUGCUCUUGCUGUUCCUCCUAUCAGCCCGUGUAAAACUGUAUACUGAAACAUUCUUACUUUUUAUAGAUUUUUUUUUCAUUUAGCCACGUCGGCAUACAAUGUUACAGCGGGAUCCACCAACUUACUUCAAACUGUGAAUUGAGAUAGUUUUCAAUGUUCAUAAUAUACUUAAGUAUCCUUCAAGGAAUAUGGAUGUUAGUGAAAUUGAAGCUCAUCUAGACUUGCGCUGUUGCCGGUGGCAACUGUUAGACCUUUGGUACAACCUUUGUCAGUUGAUACAAUUAAAUGGUUGCAAAUUUAUUGAUCUCGGUUAUUUCGGUUCAGUUUGCAUUUGAUUUAUUUUGUUGUUUUAAAGAAUUUGGGGUAUGAAUUAGCACUUUGGGUGCUCCACUUGGUUGACCCAAAGGAGUCGGUCCCGUUGGUUACGAGGCAUCAAAAGAAUGUUCAAGUACUUCCAGCUUGCUUUUGUUUAUAAAUUAACAAAGGUGUAAUUUAUGCUUUUCGGUCAACUUUUAAAUAAUCUCCUGCAUUGUCGUUCAAGAACGGUAUAUUAUGUUAUUUGUAGUAGGAAAUUGAAUUAAUAUAUUUUCUUCUUCUGUGUACAAUAAAUGUAACAUAAUUCUGUCUUUUUAAAUCGAUUUUAUUUAUUUUAUUAAAAAAUGUGAAUAAAGUUAUACUUUACUGUAGUAUUUCUGUAUUUACCUCCUUUUUUCUUUUUCAAUUUCAUUGUUGCUAGUUUUUAGAAAAAUUGAUAACUAAUAUAUAUAUAUAUAAAGAUGGGCAAAAUGAAAAUAAAUAAAUGAAUAAAAAUAACGAUAAAAAGGACAUAGAGAUUGUACCAUCUUCAUAAAAGUAUAUAUGUAAAAAUAUUGCUUCUCAUAACGUGGACCUCAUACUUCAAAUAAUGAAUUAUUUAGUAAAGUACCUAAUAAAUUGCAAGUUAUAAAAAAUGUACUGAUUUGGAACAAUGAGAUUAUACAACCUUUUUGAAUGUAUUUUAUUUUUUAUACAAAUCAAUAAUAAAAAAAAAAAUAUCCAACAAUAUGAUAAAAGUUUAUAAUUUGAAGCCAAAAAGGGAUGCAAAUGUGUUUAAAUUAGUAUCUUAAAGACACUUAAAAUAAUAGUUGAAAGCUUUUUAAAGAAAAUAAUUCAUGACAUAUAUAUAUAUAUAUAUAUAUAUAUAAUUUUAAACAAUCUAUUGUCAUAGACAUAUACAUUUACUCUAAUAGUUACUUAUAUAAUUAGGUAGAAAUAGGUAAAUAUAGAUUAAUUUCAUAAAAUCUUUUAGAGAAACUUCUUAGAAGCUUUAUAGAUGUAGUUUUGACUUUAUGUAUUUGUAGGUUAUAAACUUGGCCAACAAAUUAACUAUGUGUUGGUAGCUUGUAGAAUAAGUUAAUUAUGAGGAGCAUAUAUAGAUAACUUGCCUUGUAAGUUAAGAUAUGUAUUUUGCAAAGUCAACAUGUUUUAGAGGAUCUAUAGGACAUUGCCACGUUGUCGUAAUAUGUGAAGUCUUGCUUGAGAAUGCUCCAAGCACCUGGCUGUGGAAGGUAGAAUGGAAAUUGCAACAACAAAAUCCUAACUAUAAUAGAAUACUAACUAAAAUCUAAUUAGAGCAUAAUAAUGCUAAGUAAGCUUCAAAAAAUUCUCAAAGAAAUUUCAAACAAAUAAUAAGAAUUCUUAAAGAAAUAUUAGAAUGAUCACAAAUAUUACUCAAAUACAUCUCAAUUCAAUCUUAAUUUAAUUCUAGUUAAAAUCCUAUUAAACUUCAUUCAAACUUUAGGCCAAAAAUAAUUAAAUAUUAAAUCCUAAUAAAAUCCUAAAUCCUAAAUCAAACCCUAAUCAAAUCCUAAUCAAAUUCUAACUAAAUCCUAAUCCAAACCCUAAUCCAAACCCUAAAUCCUAAACCUAAAUCAAAUCCUAACCCUAAACCAAAUCCAAAUCAAACCCUAAACCAAAUCCUAAACCCUAAAUCAAACCCUAAUCCUAAAUCAAAUCCUAACCAAACUUUAAAUCCUAAACCAAUCC
rnacentral:lncRNA from 1 species